GGAGGGAGUACAUUACAUUACAUGCAUUGGAUAUAAGAGAUGGAUGGGUGUGGGCGGAUGAUGAAACAUAUGAUUUUUGAGUAACACAAAUGAAUUAGUAGCCUGCAGGCUUGUAGGCGAUGAAACUGAUGCACUGAACUUGACGGACAUUGUCGAAUCCGAUGAUACGGAUGAAAGCAUUUGGAUAAGCCUUCUUGGCCUCCUCGAGCUCCUUCAACACUUGGGAAGCGUCGGUGCAUCCGAACAUGGGCAACUUCCACAUGGUCCAGUAGCGGCCGUCGUAGUAUCCCGGUGACUUGUGGUUCUCACGGUACACGAAUCCUUUCUAUAUAUACACAAUUACAGUUACAGAGCACCACCGGUACCAAUAAUCAGUAGUUAAACAAGUACAAUUAAUUUAACUUGAGUAAAAAUUAUAUUAGUGAAAAAAUAACUAAUUAAUACCUCCAACUCAAAUUCCAAGCAGGGAACCCAUUUGUUGCGGAGAAGGAAAUCAACUUCCUUGGCCAAGGACUCGGAAGUAAGCGGUGGAAGGUAGGACAGCGUCUCGAACUUCUUCAAACCAACUGGAGGCCACACCUAUACAGAAUAUAUAAUCGGAGUCGAUCAAUUAGUAAGGUAGGAUACCUAGCAAGUAAUUAAGCUUCACGCUAGUAAGUGGAAAUUAAACUAUAUAUAUACGAUGGUGAAUUAAUUCACCUGCAUGCAUUGCACUCUUCCGCCAUUGCUUGGGAGUGAGGUAAUAUCACUGUUGGUCUUUCUGGUGAUGGGGAAAGCUGAGGCAGACUUGAGGCCAGUGAAUGGCGCAACCAUGCUGGCUUGUGCCGGGGAGGCGGCGGUGGCGACUGCGGCAGCCGAUGAUGAGAACAUGGAGGAGGCCAUUACUGCUUUAUGCUUUUGUAUAGCUGAGCUCUAGCCCUCUUCUUUCUUCUCGAGUGGUCGAGUUGAGGAAACACGCUAUACCUAGCUUCGUAUAUAUAAUGGUAUGAUCCACCACAACCACAUCCGACCACCCCAGUUCAAUUGACUCUAUUCAAGACGAAUUGUGGACCGUCAGAUCCUUUAUGUGAUGACAUUACGCUUUAUCGACCACAUAAGGCAAGAAAGUUUUGAUUUCUAGCCUUAUCAUCGUUACUCACCACAACGACCAUGCCACGUGGAUCCGUAUUAUCUUAUCUAAUCCAGGGCGGAACGUGAAUGAGUGAUGGUCAUUGGCUAAAGUUUGUUUCAGUCGUUAGAGAGGGCAAAGGGGUAUUGUCCUCACUUUCUAUUCCUUAUUUCGAAAACACACGCACUCGUCUCGCCUACAGCCUCUCAAUCCAAAACAGUAAACUUCUCGUUAACUUUUAGCCUAGGUCUGCCAUCAACCAACUAACCUUUAUGAUAUUACGGCCGAUGCGACAAACAAUAUAUAUUACCUUUUAAGUAAUUAUUUUUAAGUGAUCUGAUCACUUACCUUUUUUUUUUUUUUUUGGUAGAACUUGAUCACUUACAAUUCUUCUCUUAGCACAUAACUUAAAAUACAUAAAAUGGCUUAGUCAAAAAAAAAAAAAAAUACAUAAAAUGUAUAGAACUCAUAUGGAAUAACAUAUAGGCCCCAACAUGUGUAGUUAAGAGUUAUUUAAGGUGAUGAUGGCGCUUUAUUUGUUAUACGAGAUCAAAAUGGUACUUCCUUAAUGGUUUGUUCACGGAAGUAUUUCUAUCCAUGUUAUUGAAUCUUCUUUGUUGAAUGAUGGUUUAAAACAGUAGCGGAGCCAGAUAUUCAAAUGUACUGGGGCACAAAAGUAAAAUAAUACAAAAAAAAAUCUUAUAAUAUAACAAUGUAUUCGUUAUUCAUGAAUUGAUAAUCGAUAUAGAUUUAAACUAUGUUUUUAUUUUAUUUUAAUUGAGUUUUCAAUCACGAAUGAAUAACACGAGUGAUGAAGCUAAAACAUUAUAGGUGAGAACCUUUAGAAAUUAAAAAAAGAAAAAAAUAGCUAUAUAUAUAUAUACAUACACACAUGACUAUUCCAAUGAGGAAUUACUAUUUUUGUUCAUUUCUAAGGAUAGACCUACACCAUUUGAUGUGUUUUUUAAUGAGUUUGGAUAAUUGAGAUUAAAACAAAAAGUUUAACAUUUUAUAUCAAACAUAGAAUUUGAAGUUUAUUCAUUAUGUAUCCUAAAAAUAAACACGACUUGAGGGCGUACGAACCCGCCCAUCUGUCCUUGCCAAAAUAAGUUUUCUCUAUUAUUUUGAAGGACAUUUGACCAUUACCAACUAAUUUUAUGAGCUUAUUGCCCAUUCCAAUAAUAACAUUUUACUCAUUGCCAAUUUGAACAAAUCUGAAAGAAAAAGACAAUAUUAUCCUACGUAAAUAUCAACUAUUAACUCUCUCUCCACCGGCAACCUCAUCUUUGCCUCCACCUUCUUCGACGACCUCGUCCUCGCCUCCGCCAGAGCAACAUGGUGGUGUCGUCCAGACGGGAGCCGGAUGCUGAGUCCUCGCCGUUGGAUCUGAACCAUGCUCACGAUACCACUAGCGGCACCGCCGGAUUCGGAUAUUUGAUGAGUUCUUCUUCCUGCGCAUCACCAGAUUUCGCCGGUUAGAGCCGUCAUCGGUGUGAUUCGACCGGACUGAACUAGCAUGUACGUGAUUCGAUGGCAGAGUGACUCAGACUCGUCCACAGUGGUCGAUCUAAACCAGCAGGUACGUGAUUCGACCGAGGAAGGAGGAUUCGACCUCGACCUUAACCUGACUCCUCUGACAGAUCUCACCUGAUUUUUGGUUUUAGAGGAUCCGAAGGAGGGUUCGAAAGAUGAUUAGGAAACUUCUUUUUUUCUUUUUAAUUUUUUUUUUUGUUUUACCUAGGGGCUAGUAAUCGUUUUGUUUACUAGAGGCCAAUAAUACGUUUUUACUAGAGCCAAUAAUUUUUGUUAAUGUGUUUUAUUUUCUCUUGGAGGUAGUGAUUGUGUAGAUAUGGUCAAAUUGUUUAGUUUUGAAAAAUAUGGAGGGUAACAUAUCAAUUUAGAGUAAAUUACAUAGUAGCACAUGACCAAAUUUACAAACACAAAAAACCCACUUUCAAUAAUUUUUAUAUAAUAAAAGACAUAAGCCCAAGCCUACCACCAACUAAGCCCAGACCUGACUUCAAAUUUCACUCUAAGAAGACGAAAAACCUAAUCGUACAACAAAAUUACGAAAUAUGCCAUUGAGUCUAAGACUUGAUUUCAGAUCUCUCUCUCUCUCNNNNNNNNNNNNNNNNNNNNUAUAAAUUGAACAAUGAUAAUCAAAAAUUUCUAACAAAAAUUAGACGAAAUAAUAUGUAAAAAGAGGUACCAAAUAGUAAAUAUAGAUUAAUUAUAUUAAAUAAUGAAAUAUUUCAUAAAUUAAGGGUAUUUUAGGUAGUUUGGGAUGUGUAUUAAGUAUAAUACUGAAAUGAAAAACUUGAUAUGUGGUGUAUUAAGUAAGGGGUGUGUAUUAAGAUAUUAGGGGUGUGUAUUUAAAAUUUCUCUAAAAGAAAUUUAGUUCCUUAAGAAAAAAUAGUUAUUAAUUAAAACAAACAAUGAAACCCAGUACCAUUUGGUGUAGUGACAUAAUUUUUUUCUUUUAGUAAGUGAAAAGAUUAUGAGUUCGACUCACACAAUUUGUAAUUUACUUAAUAAAAAAAAACAAUCAAUGAAAAGAAUGAAAUUUAUUAGAUAAAGAAGGAAUAGGACAAGAUGCGUUGGGUUGCCGAUUUGAGAGAAAGUUGUUUUGCUGACUUAGAGUCCCUCUCGCUUUAUUUCAAAAUUCAAACCAUGUUUGGGGAUCUGAUUUCCUCUCGGUUAUGUACAGAAAAAGUGAGAGAGAGAGAGAUGAGAGCCCCAAUUCUAAUUGUUUGUCGGAUCCUCAGUAAUUUGAUGGAGGAUUGGAGAUCGUCGUUGCUCGGGAUCGUUUCUCGAUCAUUCUCAAUUCCAUGUAAGAAGUGGCUCUCUCUGUUCCUUGUCAAUUUGUGUUUCGUGAAUUUGAGCAUGGAAUUACAAUCCAAUUAGGGGGUGCUCUCUCUGUUGUUUGUUUUGCCUUAGAUCUACAAUCAGAUAAUUGUUUUCCGAGAAUUAGUUUUGGUUGUGGCCUUGAAAAAAGAGAGGGGUUUGUUGCCUCGCUUGUUUCACUAUCACAUAAAGAGAAGGGUUUACCCUUUGAUCUGUUGUUUGCGACCUCAAAUUGUCAUUGCCUUUUCGAUGCCCAUCUGUUGCAAUGUCCUAAGAAUUUACCUGAGAUUGUUCCCUUUUAAGUUCAUGCAUGUUAAAUGUUGCUGAAGGGCUUUCUAAUCUAGAAUGUUGAGUUGGUCAUAAACUUGCGUCUUGUCUUUCCUUGAAUUUAUAUGAAUGUGAGCAUGAAAUUACAAUUAAAAUAUUGGUGCUCCCUCUUUUUGUGGGGUUGAAGUACCAGUUUUCAUGAUUGGUAUUCCCUCUGCAUGAGAAUUGGUGGUGUCCACUUCAUGAUUACUAUGUUUCCUUUGAUUUAUGAGUUGUCUUCGAUUAAUUGGUGGUACCCAGUUCAUGAUUAUGUUGUCUAAGAGAUUAUUAUUGUGGCCUUGAAAGUAACAAUUGAUCCCUAAAGAAAGGGUAUUAAGAGAGAUUGUUGGAAAGAGAGAUUAUUGUUGCAUUUCAAAGUUCAUGAUUUUGCACUUUGAUUUAUGAGUUGCCUUUGGUUAAUUGGAAAAAGAGAUAGUUGUUGCCUUUCAAAGUUCAUGAUUAGCGAAUCUUACCUAAGUAUUUGUUAUCUGAGCUCGCAAAUUUCUAAUGCAAUGAGCUCGUAAAGAGAGAUUGUCGUUGCCUCUUAAUCUCUUAAAGUAUAAUUCUGCACUUUGAAACUUGAGUUAGUUGAACCAUUCAAGGCUAAUAUUUUUGUAAAGAAUUGAGACACCCAUUUCCCCACACCAUAGUAGGUAAAUUCUCAACGUUUUUCAGUUUAUUUUUUCUUUUUCCAUCAAUGAAAUGCCCAAAAGUUAAGGUUUCUGUAAAGAAUUGAAUAUUACAUCUUCUCGAUUUUGACUCUAGCAUUCAAUUUUUUCUUUUUGCAGAUGAAUUGGAAAUGAGAAAAUUGGUAUUCAUGGUGGUUAGAUUCGUGUUUGAGAUAAUGAUUCUCUUGUCCGUUGUCCCCAAUAGUCCUCUAAGAUGUAAGAAUGGUUUACCAUUUGAAAAGUUCACUUGGUAGUUGUACAUAUGUCAACCUUUUGAUUUGUCGCUGCUUAUACAAUCAAAGUAAUGAGCUAUGACCAAGCUAGAAAGAGAUAUUAAAAUUGUCAUGGCCUUUUCAAUGCCCAUAUGUUGCCAUUUCCAAAGAAUUUACCUGAGAUUGUUCCCUUUUAAGUUGUGGUAUUGCAUGGCUUUUUAAUAUGGAAUGAUGUAUUUUUUAUUAUAUUCAUCUGUCUACUUUGGGCAGUUCAUGAAUUUGCGUCUUGUCUUUGCUUGAAUCUUUAUGAAUAUGAGCAUGAAAUUACAAUCAAAAUAUUGGUGCUCUUUCUUUUCUUGGGAUUGAAGUACCAGUUUGAAGAUUGACGCUCCCUCUUUUUUAAGGGUUGAAGUACCAGUUUUCAAGAUUGGUAUUCUCUCUGCCUUGAUUCUCUGGUGUUGCCCUGAAUGGCCCGAUAUAUUACCAAAGAAUUACUUCAAAUUGUUGCCUGAGAAUUGGGGGUGCCCAGUUCAUGAUUAUGUUGCCUGAGCAGUUAUUGUUGCCCAUCAAAGUUCAUGAUUCUGCACUUUGAAACUUGAGGCUACACUUACAAUCUUUUACUUACAUGUCUUCUGCCUUGAUUCUCUAGUGUUGGCCCGAUAUUAUGACCUAGUAAUUGUUGCAUGAGAAUCGGUGGUGCCCAGUUCAUGAUUUUGUUGCCUUCGAUUAACAUGUUACCUUCUAUUCUAUUUGAGUUGCCUUAAAUUAGUAUGUUGUCUUCGAUUACUAUAGUUUCUUCGAUUUAUGAGUUGCCUUCGAUUGACUGGUGAUACCCAGUUCAUGAUCUGUUGCCUGAGAGAUUAUUGUUGCCUUGAUGUAAUGAUUGAUCCCUAAAAAAAGGGUAUAAAGAGAGAUUGUUGGAAUGAGAGAUUAUUGUUGCCUCUAAUAUUGUUACCUUUGAGAUUGUUGCCUUUCAAAGUUCCUGAUUGGCGAAUCUGACCUGAGUAUUGGUCAUUUGAGCCGCAUAUUCUAAUGCAGUGAGCUCGCAAAGAGUGGUUUUUGUUGUUUUUCAAAGUUCAUUAUUCUGCUCUGUAUUAAUAUAUGUUAUCUUGUAUUAUUUUAUUCUAUUGUCUCGGAUAGAGAUUAUUGUUGCCUUGAAAAGAGAGCGAGAGUUUGCUGCCUUGCUCGUUUCAGUCAUCUCACAUAAAUGUGUUACCGUUUAAAGGGUCUAAUAUAUUUUUGCCAUUUAUUUCAUGUUUUGCAAAUCAUUCAGACCAUGGUGGCCUUGAUCCCUCAUUUUCGGAUAUGUUGCCUUGUCCCAAGAAUUAAAUUGUUAACAUUUUGCAAAUUCGAAACUGUCUUUGGUAUCAAACCAUUCAUGAAUUUGCGGUUGUCUUUGCUUGAAUCUAUAUGAAUCUGAGCAUGAAAUUACAAUCAAAAUAAUGGUGUUAAUUUCAUCUUUUCCUGGCGUUGAAGUACCAGAUUUGAAGAUUGGUGCUCCCUCUUUUUUAGGGGUUGAAGUACCAAUUUGAAGAUCUGUGUUCCCUCCUUAUUUUUUUUUCUUGUUGUCUGCUACAACAUAUGUCUCUCUCCUUGUGAAUGUGCCUUGGCUAGACAUCACUGAACGCCUUCAUUAUGGAAAUACAAUUAUCAAAAAGGUUCUCUUGGAUUCCAAGUUCAUGAUUCUGCACCUGGAAUCUUGAAUUGGUAUGGAAAGAGAGAACUCAUUGAGGCUGCACUUACAUGUUUUUAUUUGCAUGUCUUCUUCUUUGAUUCUCUGGUGUUGCCUUCAUAUUUUCACCAAUAAUUGUCGCAUGAAAAUUGGUGGGGCCCGGUUCAUAAUUUUGUUGCCUUUGAUUAAUAUGUUACCUUCUAUUCUAAUUGAGUUGCCUUGGAUUAAUAUGUUGCCUUCAAUUACUGUGUACCCUUCGAUUACUAUGUUUCCUUCGAUUCAUGAGUUGCCUUUGAUUAAUAUGUUGUCUAUGAUUUAUGAGUUGCCUUCAAUUAACUGGCGAGGCCCAGUUCAUGAUUCUGUUGCCUUGAAAGUUUAUGCUCUUACUAUUAAAAAUAACAAUUGAUUGCUAAAAAAUAGGUUAUUAAGAGAUUGUUGGAAAAAGAGAUUAUUGUUACUUCGAAGAUUGUUGCCUUUCAAAGUCCCUGAUUGUUGAAUUUGACCUGAGUAUUUGGUCAUGAACUCUCAAAUUUCUGAUGCAGUAGCAAAGAGAGAUUAUUGUUUCCUUUCAAAGUUCAUGAUUAGCGAAUUUGAUUUGAGUAUUAGUCAUUUGAGCUUCCAAAUUUUUAAUGUAGUGAGCUUUAGCAAAGAGAGAUAUUGUUGCUUUUCAAAAGUUCAUGAUUCUGCACUUUGAUUUAUGAGUUGCCUUCGGUUAUUUGGUGGUGUCUCUUUCAUGAUUCGGUUGCGGUGUUGCCUAAGAGAUUAUUAUUGUUGCCUUGAAAGUUCAUGCUCUUAUUGUUAGAAAGUAACAAUUGAUCUCUUAAAAAAGGGUAUCAAGAGAGAUUGUUGGAAAGAAAGAUUAUUGUUGCCUCUAAGAUUUUUGCCUUUCAAAGUUUGUGAUUAUCGAAUGUGACCUAAGUAUUGGUCAUUUGAGCUUGCAAAUUUCUGAUGCAGUUGGCUAGCAAAGAUAGAUUAUUGUUGCCCAUUUAAGUUCAUGAUUCUGCAUUUUGAAACUUGAGUCAGUAUUGAACCAUUCAAGGGCUGGCUUUCCAACGAGAACUCAUUGAGGCUAUAGCCUCUGAGAUUGUUGCCUUGUAAUUCUCUAAGAUCUCCUUUAUUGCCAACUAAGUUUGAUAACAAAUGCAAUUUUCUCAGGUUUAUACAUAGUUCUCAUUUCCGUUUUGUAAAUGAUUAAUUAUAUCUUUUAGAAUCUGCAGAAAUGCAUUUUCUUUGUUUGAAAAUGCUACAGUACUAGGCUUCAUAAGCUUUGAAGACCCCUUUGUGCAUGCUGCACAAGCCUUUCUUGAUGAUUUGAGUUCGCUAGAAGAUCUGCUUCAUGCUUUAAUAUUUAGCUGUUGGCUUUUUGUUUGAGCUCGUUUGAGCUCCGUUUGUAACCCAAAAAAAAUGCUACAGUACUAAAAGACUGAUACAAAAGAUGCUUUGUGUGGGGAAUUGCUCCAAAAUACCAGUAUAUGGCACAAUCAUGUGCGUUGAUCAUGCACCUAGUUCACAAAUAUGAUUUUGUUGUUACCCACAUUGUCGAUGCAGUUGCUGGUGUUGAGAAGAAGUAUGCAGAUGAGAGCCUAGCUAAUUUUCUUAUCAGAGAGAUUGGGAGGACAAAUCCAAAAGAGUACAUCAAGGAUACAAUUGAGGCUGAAAAAGAUUAAUUACAAAAGACCCCCAGAAUUAUGGGGUCACUUUCAUUUUGGUAUCUAAUUAUUAAAAUCUUGCGUUUACAUGCCCGAAGUUCUCCCCAUUAGACAAGUUAAUACUUCCGUCAGUUACCUGUCAGUUUGGGGCGUUUUCUGCUAACGUGGCUUGCCUAGGACCCAAACAGCUGUUAGUUUCUAGGUGGAAUUGAGGGAUAUUUUAGUCUAACUCUAUUUUACUCUGCCUAAAAAGGCAGUAAAAGGUGGAGGCAGAAUUACGCAACUGAAACGAUUUGUGAUUUCUAUCGCUGAUUACCCCUGAUCCACAACUGAAACAAUGCCGGAUUAAGCAACUCUAGGUUUGAGUGGGUACUCCGAUUUGUGAUUUCCAUGGCUUCGCACAACUAGAAUAGGCCUCCCCAUAGCCCCUCUACUGUAAGCCCUAACUUCUUUUGUAUGAAAUUACGUUUUUGUGAUGAAGUAGACGAAGCCCUAAUUUGGGGUUGUGAGAAAUUGGGGGGAAUGAUAGGAAGUGAAGGAUGAUAGUGAUUGUGUGUUUGAUUUUACUUGGGUGGUUAUGGGUUUUGUUAUAUGCGGCACGAAUCAGUGUAGAAAAUGAGGAAACGGGUUUUUCAUCUUGGGUUGUGGGGUUUGUUUGUUUGGUCACAUUUGUGAUUGUAUUUCAUUUCUUUCAAAGCUGAGAAAGAGAGUGGUUUUCCAUUUGUUUGUGUUGGGAUUGAUGGUUUGCAUUGACAAAGUGACAUACUGAGCUGCACUAAAUCAUCUGUGUUAAUGUUAAUUUUGGUUUUGAAGAAGAAGAUUGGUGUUCACGAGGUUCAUUGGACAAGAAGAGGAAGUUAACAAGAAAAACAGACAGCCAGAGUAGCAUGGGGCGACCACGGCUGCCAUUUAAGUAAAAUAGAGUAAUUUAGAGUUAGACCAAAAUAUCCCUCAAUUCCACUUGGAAACUGACAGUUGUGGGUCCUAAGCAAGCCAUGUCAGCAGAAAACGCCUCAAAUUGACGAGGUAACUGACGGAAGUAUUAACUUGUCUAACGGGGAGAACUUCGGGUAUGUAAAUGUAAGAUUUUAAUAAUUAGGUACCAAAAUAAGAGUGACCCCAUAGUUUAGGGAGUCUUUUGUAAUUAAUCCGGCUGAAAAUGUACCUCUUUUGGUGGAACUUUCUGAUCGGUUACCAAAGUUGAUGUCUGUAAAUAUUGGUCUUCUUGUCCCACAUUUUGGUGGGGAAUCUUAUAAAAUAAGAAAUGCUCUUGUUGGGGUCUUGGGAAAGUUGGUCGCAAAGGCUUUCAAAGAUGCUGAGGGUGAAGUCGAUUCUAAAUCUGUUCGUAUUCGAACCAAGCAAGCCAUGUUGGAAAUUUUGCUUGAGCGGUGUCCAGAUGUAUCAGCUUAUACCCGGAGUCGGGUUCUUCAAAUUUGGGCUGAACUAUGUGAUGAACUUUGUGUUUCAAUUGGGUUGUGGAAUGAGCUGGCUGAAGUUGCUGCUGGGAGGUUAGAGGAUAAGAGUGCAAUGGUCAGAAAAUCAGCGCUAAAACUACUUAUCACGAUGUUGCAGCACAACCCAUUUGGCCCACAACUUCGAAUAGCUUAUUUGAAGCAACCCUACAGCAGUACAAGAAGAAGCUGAAAGAGCUUGAACCAGAGACUCCCUCAGAAAAUGAUAUGAACAGAUUACCAUCUUUCAAUAAUACAUCGGGGAAUAAUGAGGUUGAUGACGUAACUGCAGGGUUGACUAUGGUGCAGCAGGAUAGCUUACCUGAUAGUUACUUGCCUGAGAUGGAAGAAGAUCUAGUUCAGAAAGACGGGUCUGUCCCAGAUGUUGUGAACUUAGAACAGACCAGGGCUUUGGUAGCUUCACUUGAGGCUGGACUGAGAUUUUCAAAGUUUAUAUCUGCUACAAUUCCAACACUUGCUCAGAUGAUGGCAUCAUCUUCUGCCACUGACGUUGAGAACACAAUAAAUUUGUUAAUGAGAUGCCGGCUGUUUCAUAUUGAUUCCUCAGAAGCAUGUCUUCAUAAGAUGUUGCCACUGGUACGUAUUGCUCAUGCCCUAGGAAAUGCUUUAUAAUUUCAAUUCCGUCAAGAACUUUUCUUCUCUGUUAAUUCUUGAGCACCUGGUCUGGGCAUGAUUUUUCUGUUUGUACAUGUUGCUUAUAAUGUCCUAAAUGUGUCUUGGCUUUUGUAGGUAUUUUCUCAGGACAAAUCCAUCUAUGAAGCUGUGGAAAAUGACUUCAUUACAAUUUACAUAAAGAAAAACCCCGUAGAAACGGCCAAGAAUCUUAUAAAUCUUGCGAUAGAAUCAGAUAUUGGAGAUCUAGCUGCCCUUGGGUAUAUAGUUGGUGCCUUGGUGUCCAAAGGCAACAUAUCCAGUGCUGCGAGUGAUUACUUUAAAUCUAUGAAAUUUGUUUGAAGAUAUUUCCUUUGCAUGCCAAAAGCAACAAGAAUCUCUGUAUGGUUUUCAGCUUUCAAAAGUGAGGGUACACUGUAGAUAUAAAGUCAACUCUAAAGUUGAGGCAAUUGUCCAUUUCUGGGAAAGUGAACAAGUGCAUAUUGAAAAGAUAAUGAGCAACCAUGAUAUUGAUUUUAGAAUACGAUUUAUGUUUCUUUUUGGUAUAUUUGGUNNNNNNNNNNNNNNNNNNNNAGUAGCAGUAGUAGCGGAUAUGUUGAAGGGUAGUUUGGUAAAAUAUAAUGACAGAUGGCAUGUGGGUAUUAAAUUGUCCUAAUUUGUUAAUUUUUGUCCUUAAAUGUAUAAGAUAAUGAGUAAAGGAUGUAUUUGUAAACUGAAACUUAGUUAGUAACUAAUAUGUAAUUUACUAUUUAACUUACCCAUAAAAUCUUAAUAGAAACAUAAAAUAAUAGAUGUGUGUAUUAAGAGAUUAGGAGUGUCUAUUUAAAAUUUCUCUUUCUUUUAUUAUUGUAAAGAUAACCAUUUGCACAAAAACAUGGUUUCCAAAAUCCAUUUCAAUAAACUUAUUUGUGUCCAAAUACAUAAAUAUUUAUUAAAGUCAAAAUAAAAUAAUAUUUUUAAGACAUUUUUACCCUUAGUUCUUAUACAUGCUUAGAGAGAAAAAGUGUAUGAGAGGCAGUAAGACUUUAUCGGAAGCUCUUUGGAUAUCCUGACACCAUCGUCGAACUCCGGUCACUAGUUGCUGGAAUCUUGUCGAUUGCCACCAGAAUCUCGCCUAUCACCAGAGUUUGGUGCCGGAAGCUUAUCGAACUUUUUUAAAUGUCAUCAGAUCUUGCCAAAACAGUACCCUCUCUAAAAGUUUAUUGAGGGGCAGUAAGAUUGAAAAUUUAUUAGAGGACAAAAACUUGAAAUCUCAUCGAAACAUCCCGAAAUAAUUUAUAAAAUCUAAUAGACGGUUAAUUAGAGGGCGAUUAUUGGUGACAGUAAAUGUUGAGAAGUAUUUUACUACCCUAAUAAAAAAAUUAUUAAGCGACAAUAAAGACAAAAUUUUACUAAAAUAUCUCCAAAUAAUUUAUAAAAAAUAAUAAACCAUUUAUUGAAGGAAAUAAAUGUUCAGAGACUUCUUAUUACCCCUAAUAAAUGUUUAUUGACCUCAAUAAAUUGAUUAGUAAAUUACAUAUUAGUUACUAACUAAGUUUCAGUUUACAAAUACAUCCUUUACUCAUUAUCUUAUACAUUUAAGGACAAAAAUUAACAAAUUAGGACAAUUUAAUACCCACAUGCCAUCUGUCAUUAUAUUUUUACCAAACUACCCUUCAACAUAUCCGCUACUACUGCUACUGUCGACAUGUGCUACUGUCGACGAAAAUGUGCUACUGCCAAAGUAGGAAUGUGCUACUGCCGGUGCUAUUACAAUUUUUUCCAGCAAUUCUUCGGAACCAAACAAAGCUGCUACUGUGGCGAUGCGAAAUCUUAUGCUACUGACCACUGAAUAGCUGGUGCUACUACCAAAUGUACAGUAGCAUCACUCAUACUCAUCCAGAUCUAGGAUUUUGAAGCUAAUCAAAAUCAUAAUCAAUUGCUACAAAACUAAAGCACAUAGCAAAACAGAAGCUAGCCCUCCAGUUCCACACAACCCAAUACCAAUUGAAGCUUCAAUUUCCACAAUACCAAAACACCGCAAUAAACGAAGAAAAAGCACAAACCAGUUGUUGUAGUCAGAAUCGAAGAACCACUGAGGGAACCAAACGGAGGAAUGCAUAGAGAUCAAGCGAGCUAUCGUUGGAUUGCGCAGUGGAACUCGUCGGCCUCAGAAUGGAUGGGAUCGAGCUUUGGUUCAGUAGCAGUCGUCGUGGUCGUCGACCAUCUGCAUCGGNNNNNNNNNNNNNNNNNNNNCCCGCAGAUAUCAGCGUGAUGGGAUUUCUUUUGCUUCAACAUUAGUGGAACUACUGCAGCUCAAAGUUAUGGGGCAUUAUCUAUCCUUUGCAUGCUGGGGCGGAACUACAGUCCAGCCUGACGAGGUUUUGACCCUUGUCAGCUUUUCUGCAGAUACGGUGAUAUUAGGAAAUCUUUAAUCAACUAAUGGUAUAUAUAGGUGUGUUUUUAUAGUGAACCCCCCUCAAAUCCUUUCGAAAACAAAGAAACCCACCGACCCCAUGUUACAGAAACAAUAAGAUAAUGAAUCCCUAGCUAUUCACUUGAUUAUCAUCAUCUUUAUAAUAAAAAAUAAUAUAAAUAAUGAUAAAUUUAGAAAAAAGUACUAUAAUAUUUAUUAGAAACUCAAAGUUAAAGUAAAAUUUAAUAAGAAUAUUUAAUGUCAUUAAGUGAUUACUCUCGUAAUGAAUUACAGCGUUCUACUUUUAUUUGCUGGGAUUUGCAAUCCCUACUUGAGUAUCUCUAUACAGAUGACUAUUUAUAAGUGGUUUACGACUAAAUGAAAAAUGAAAAACGUCUGAAAAUUCUGAACUCAGUGAAUUUUAUCUUUAGAUAAUUUAGGUCUGAUUAUUAAUAUUUAUAAUAUUUAUUGUCACUAGAGAUAUUAUCAUUAUUUUCGUAAAAAUGAUCGUUUCUAAGUAAUAUCAAGAAUACGACUAUAUUUACCAGUUAUACCUUAGUUGUUAUAAUUUGUAGUAAAACACGUUGUAUUAUAAGUAAUUAUCUCAAUCACAACAAAAUUUACAUAAAGUAAGGUAUUAAUUACUAGAUAAAGGAUUUUAUUACACAAACAACGUAUUUACUAUAUGUACAUCAGUUUUACUAUUAUUACGACAAUUUGUUGUCAGAUUGGUAAAAUAGUUCUCGACUUGUAAUUAGAAAAAUUACUACAAAUACAAGCUUGAUUACUACUUUUUCAACAGUUUGUCGACUUAUGAAUCGACAUUAAGAAUUUCAUAAAGAACUACUAUGAAAUUGACAUUAAUUACUACUUUCACCUCAAUUUUAGUUAAGGGAAAAUGCCCAUUUAGUACUAAUUGUCACCCUUCAUUGCCCAUUCCAAUGUAAAUCUUUUAUAUAAGCCCAUUUGAAUGAAAAUAAACUUUUUUUGUGCCCAAAUGGUCAAAUCUUUACUAAAGUCUUAACAAACUAUAUUAUUUUAAAACUAUUUUGCCCCUACCUCUUCAACAUGAAAAACUUGGCCGGAACCUCGAACUCCGGUCACCGGCCACCGGAAUCCGGUCACCGAAUUUUCCCACCGGAAUCCGAUCACCGGAAUUUCCUCGCCGGACUCCGGUCACCGGAAUUUCCCCGACCGUAGGACUCUGGUCACCAGAAUUUCCCCGGUAACCAGUUACUGACCCCCAAUAACCAGCUACUGACACCUAGUAAUUAGUUACUGACUAGUUACUGACACCUAGUAACUAGUUACUAACCCCAAAUAACUAGUUACUGACCAGUUACUGACCACCAGUAACUGAGUUACUUUGGUCAUCGGCCGCCGGAACUGAGUUACUGACCCCUAAUAACUGAGUAAUGAUUCCUUAAAAGGCUAUUGACCUUAGGUAACUCAAUUACUAACCCCUAGUUAGUAAUUGAGUUACUAACCCCUAGUUAGUAAUUGAGUUACCGACCCUCAAUAAUCGAUUAGUGACCCCCAGUAAUCGAUUACUACCUUUAUGAAAACUACAAAGUACGCACUUAUUUGUCAUGCUUCCCCACAAGGAUCUAACUCUCUAUGAAUCUAUAUCUCAAGCAGAAGCCCACGUCCACCUUGCAGAUUAGUAGCUCCGGCCAGCAAGCCCAAACACACCAAUAGAACCCCAAAAAAAAAAAAAACCUUAACCAGCGCCGGUAGCACCAGAGCAGGGGACAGCCUUGUCGAUUACAGUGACGGACAUGUCCGACCCGAUUAGAAACUGUCGGGCUGUGGUCAACCCGAUUAUUCCAGCUCCGAUGAUCAAGACAUUGAAUGUUUGGGAUGCGGAUACCGGUUCCGAAACCGAAGAGCGAGCGGGUUCGGAUCGGGUUGCGGAGGCAGAGAAUGAAAUCGGUUUCGAUUUGAAUUUGGAGUUUGAUUGAGAGGCGAAGUGGCGGAAGGAGUGGAAGUAAUUCCGGGAAGAGAAUACGGCGUCGUUUGUGUGAGGGUUUGGGUGUGAGAGAAAGGUGGAAGCUGAAGCCAUUAUUGGGGCUUUGAGGGUUGACUUGCCCAUAUUGAAACUUUGAAUACCAUUUGAACCUGGCGGCAGGUUUGCCUAUUAGACUAGCUGAGAGAAAGAGAGUCGUCAAGGUUGUGUCUGUCGUCGAAGAAAGGAGAGAGAGAGAGAGAGAGAAGGAAANNNNNNNNNNNNNNNNNNNNNNNNNNNNNNNNNNNNNNNNANAGAGAGAGAGGAAAACGAGGAAAACGAGAUCGGGAAUAAGAGGAGGAGAAAGAGAUAAGAUUUGUGUGGUUUAGUUAUACAAGGUAAUAACGUUUUUUUUUAAAAAUUAUUGGAAUGGGCACAAGGAUAAGACUUUAAUUGAAAUAGGCUUUAGUUUUCAAAUAUUUGGAUAUUUGAGCAUUUUCCCUUUAGUUAAACGAUAUAAAAAUGUCGUCACAUAACUUAAAACUUCUUAAAGAACAUGAUUUACGAUUUAUAAAUAUCCUUAUUACGUCAUAAUGGUCUUAACCACAAUUUACUCAUAUUAAUAACAUUUUACUUGUAUAAUAUAUACAUAUAUAUAUAUUUUCUUUUUUUAAAAGAAAAUCAAUUUGCUCUCUCUGCGACUCAUCUUCCCCGAUGAGCAAUGACCAUAAUUAGGAAUGGAACAAGUAGAAUCCAAGUCUAGAAUAGGAAUGAAACGCACCCCACGCACGUAGAAUUGGGAAUUUGGGUCGCUGCUAGAGUUUCAAGACUGGUGGCCGCCAUGGCCAAAUUUCGUGCCAAGCUCCUGUUUAUCAGCCGAUUCCGGCUUGGACUUGGUGGGUGCCUUACCGAUCGGGGGAUUUAGGGAAUCUCAAGUUUCGCUCAAGAUAGAGGCUGGGUUCUCGAACCGAUAUUUCUACAAACCUCUGCGCGAAAAGGAUGAGCCAGUGUACUGGGUUUUUGAGAUUGGUGUACCGGAUAUUCUAGAUGACGUCCUCGAAGUUCUUUACCUCGCAAAUUGGGAGUCACAAUCCACAACUAUUUCCGUCAGGCUGGAGAAGAUUCGAGGUCAGAAUUCUUCCUUUACUCUUCACGAAAUUAACUGGGUUCAGGUACGUUUCUACCUUGAUCUUCUUAAUUAUGACUUCUCUUUUUUAGUUAUUUGUCUCUUUAGAAAUUCAAUAGCAUACUCUACUGUGCGUUGGGUUUUCUGGAGUGUGUUUGAUAGGUGGCACUGUCAUACGUCUCCACUCUUGGAAAAUUCGUAUCUUAUUAUCUUGUGUGAGUUUGAGUUUAAAAAUUGGGUGGUUAUUAGAUGUGAAAUCACAACUGUUGAGGACAAGACCAAAACAAUGAUGCAUCUGUUAGUUGAUUCAUAUGUACUUUACUGUUGGAACCAAAUUGGAGGUCGGCAGUGCCUCCUCAUUGGACUUCCUUUUGAUUCUAAACAAGUUUGAUGUGUUUGAGGAUUGAUGUGUUUGAGGAGAAGGAGAACGGGUACCACUUACUCAGUGUGACUGGUUUGAUGAUUUUCAUCCAGUGAUUAGCCGUCAUCUGUCCAACGGGAACAACAGCAGCAACAACAUUAAUAGUAGCCCCUCAUUGGGUCAUCUUGCAGCUUACUACAUUGGAGUAAAGUUCAAGAGGCUAUAUUCUUCCCUAACUGGAAAGAAACUGUACGUUUCUCUGGUAAAAGGAUUGCAGCCUAAUAGUGUAGAUGCAGCUCUUAAAUAUUCAAGGGAGAUUUUAAAAUGGGAUGAAGAGAGAGGCAACUUCAGCUUUGUUUAUUCUGCCUACAGCACUGAGGCAAGCUCGUAUUCACAUUAACGUCAAAUUGAGAACGCUUGUAAAUCAGUUUGUAUUGUCGUGGGAGACUAAGCAAAUCCACUGUAAAUGUAAUGGUAUAUGUGUAUAUGAACAAUAGAAAGAUUGUUCCUUUCACCAGACCAGUCCUUGCUGGUUCAAGAUAUGAAAGAUCAAUAGAUCAUUAUUUUACACAACUAAGCAUGUGAAGCAACUACAAUUACUAUAAUCUAAGCAAAACCUAACUCUCUUCAUUCUCUUUUUUUCUUGUUCUUUGAGCCACGAGGUCGACCACAACCCCUUUUGGCAUGUACUUGGGUCUUGGCAUGUACUUGGGUUGUAUGCAAGACUUUAUCAUUAUCGCUUUGUGCUAUGUCUUCUUGUUUUCUCUUCCUUUUCUUGGCUGGUUUCGUGGUCUUGUCUUCUUCUUCUUCUUCUCAUCCUCUGCCUUGGAUGCAUUCUCAAAAUCUUCCAUGAAUUUUAUAGUAUAAAUGCCGCAAUCAAACCAACCUGAACAAAGUGACUUUCCCUGGUGUGAUUGUAUUCAGUCUCUUGGAGUUCUUUCUAACACCAAAACCCAUGACCUUUGCGUAAGCGUAGUAAAAAGACUCGGCAUCCUCCAUAGUCUUAAACUUCUGCCCUUUAAUGUCUUCUGUAGACAACUUAUCAUAUUGAACUCCCUUGUAUUCCAUCUCAUUACCAUCACUUUGUUUAAAAGCUGAAGGUUUGCGCAGUCCAUCCAUGCCUGUAAAAGAAAAUGAAAACAAAAAUAUAUUAAGCCCCUUUAAAGCUUAAUAAGACACUAGCACAGAUUAAGCAUUGAGAAAACUCUCGUACUAAAAGCUGCAUAAAUGAACGGGCUUCUUCAUUGAUCUGUUUCUAACAACUGGGUGGGGUAGGAGGAAAGAAAGGCAACAAUUAGAGUGCCAACUCAAUAUGUUAUGUCUCCCUAAAUAUUCAGCAAACAAGAUUUGUACUUCUUUCAUUGCUCAGAUAAAAAUAAACAAAUAACUAUACGGAGCAUGGGAUUCUAUUUGGCAAGACAAGCCCAAACACAAGUCUGAGAUUUUAUUUUGUAUGUAUCAUGAAAGGAAUAAGGAAAAUAUCUAAUAGGUAAUGGCAACUAAUAUCCACUACCCAGAUUCUAACAAGGCAUACAGUAAAUAGACCCUCACUCUGCACUAAAAUUGGACUGUGUGGACGGAAUCCUAAUUUUCAAACAGGCAGCUAAUAUUCAUUUCAUUUCAUUCCUUAUCUUCCAAAUCCAACUAAAGUAAAAGGAGACGUAUACAAGUAUACACUCACCAUAAAAUAAAGAAACUGAAACAGAGAUGGAUAUUGGCAGCGUUGAAAAAUACCAAGAAAAUAAUGAAUCAGCACCAGUAAAUCGCAGUAAAUUAGAGGACAAAGAAAAGAAAUGAUACCACAAAUGAAUACAGAAUAUUGAUCAUACAGACAAUCUACUUGAGAUCGGAUUUUCUACAGCAAAGAAGUUGUAAAUGCGUCAAAAAAUGAAUAAUAAGUUCUCAGAGUGACAAGCCAAUUGAACUUUAACAAGCUACCUCCCUUCUAAAUGGGCAUCCUCAACAGAAAACAGUCACAGAUCAACACUUGCACCACAAUCUUAAUAUGCAAACAACAGACAAUUCAACCCAAAUAUUCACCUUAAUGUUGGCCCCUGAGUCGAUUACAUACAGAAAUUCUCGUAGAACAUUGUACCAUUUAGUCUUUCAGUCAUGAGUGUAAUGACAAAGCUAACAGUUUUGAGUGUUUUGAUUGCUUCCAGAAACUUGUCCUUGUAACUUUAUCAAAGCCAUUGUUCCUCCCUAUUAUUCUAAUCUCAAUCUCAAUAUAAAUCAGUUUCUCCAAACAAGCUUGAAGAGCUGGAGCACCCAUGUUAUGAAAAAUCUCAUUCAAUGAUGCAGGCCACAGAUAUAUACAUGAUGAUGAUUCAUAAAACAAAUGUGAAGCCAUUGGUGGCAUUUGAUAAAGUCAUAUACAUCACUAACUGAAGCAUUUGAUCGAACAGGUGGUGGGCAUCAAAUUUUAAGCAUUUUGAUCAACAUAUUAUCAAUAACACACCGAGUAACACACCAAGACCAGUGGAAUCAGUACAAGUAACACACCAAAUUAUCAAUUAAAUACCCACAGCAUGAUCUAGCAGCUUUCUGAUAGCAAAAACCCAUACCCAAUUAUCAUCGAACUAAACAUCAAACUGAUUCUAAACAAAAACCCAAACACCCAACAACUAAUUCAUACCUUAAACUCUUCAAAUUGAGGAGAAUCUUCUGAGGUGGAGAACUAGAGAUGAAUGGAUAAAUGGAUGAAAGAGGUGAAAGCUGCUUGGAGUACCCUCCCAAAAGGAAAAAGAUGUGUCUGUCAGGUUUGGUUCUUCAUAGUUGGGUUGGGCGGGUUCGACCAGAAAUGCUAUGCUUACACACAAGACUACCCCUCUUCCCGAAAGCUUCGUGAGGACUACUUUACGACGACGGACGACUAACCCAAAUCGUAGUGGGUUUACUGCACAAGGCCCUGCAGAGGAAAAGCUUUAUCUCAGCGAAUAGAAGAUGCUCUCCUCUUCUCUUCACCCUAGGUUUUAAUAGGUGCAAAUCGAUCUGUUUAAUGAGUUAGGUUUUUUAAAUUCUGUUUUUAUUUUUUAUUAUAUUUUAUAUAUAUAAAUUAUAAAAUUAUAUGCUACCCGGUAAACAAGUUACCCUAGAAUUUCCCUUAACAAAUAGCAAGUGUUUUUCGUUAUGCGGUUCCUGAUGUAAUAUGCAAAUAAUCGUAUCAAUAAAAUGAAAGAAGAGUAUGAAGAUUGAAAUCUUUCUACCAUUUUGGUAACCUUAGAAUUAGAAAAGACCAUGCCAAGCAGACAUAUAGAAUUUUCCCUAACAAAUAGCAAGUGUUUUUCGUUAUGCGGUUCCUGAUGUAAUAUGCAAAUAAUCGUAUCAAUAAAAUGAAAGAAGAGUAUGAAGAUUGAAAUCUUUCUACCAUUUUGGUAACCUUAGAAUUAGAAAAGACCAUGCCAAGCAGACAUAUAGAUCAUGAAUGGACUCAUAUGAUUUCGUAAAAUGCAUGUAUAGUAUGUUCUCUGCGGUAUUCAUUUCAAUCUACAAGUGUAUUUCUCAGGUAGUAUUAUUAUAGUUUGAUCCUGAAUUUCUGUAAAAGCGAGACACUUAAUUGUGCAAAAUAACACAUUAUAAAAGAGUACUUAUAUUAUAUUCUACUUUUGAAAAGUUAAGAAAACAGAUUUUAGUGGGUCUUCACUUAAUUGUGUCGGUCUUUCUUUUCAAUCCAUCAAACUACAAUGACCAUUUUGUUUUUUGCAUGAAUAAUACAUAGCCCGCUGCUUGAAAAUGGUUUUGUUUUUUUUUUUUUUUUUUGUAAGCAGUUGUUUGUUAGUUGCUGAUGCACAAAAAGACUAGAAAAGUAUUAUGGUUACUGGCUCUAGAGCAAUUGAAGUCACUGGUCAUGUACCUGCAAUGAAUAGAAAUAUUCUGUACUGAUUCAAAUGUUUUAGCUGUUCUUUUGCCUCUUGCAGCAAUUGAGCAUAUGAUGUUUUAGAUUGUUAAGAAUUGAAAUCUAUGACAUGUAAUUUACAAAACCCCUAUGAGAUUUGUUAUUUUCAUGCAAGGAUCGAAAAUGAAUAUAUGUAUGUUUAGGCUACAUUUCAUCUUAGCUAUCCAAGCAUUAUGAUGAGAAAAUUAUUAUAUGGUCCAUAUAUCUUUCCUUUGUUGAUAAUAACACAUUUGUCAUUAUGAAAUAGCCACUGUUACAAAUUCUAGGAUAAUGAUCCAUGCUUGAGAAGAAAAGUUGGUCCUUUCCAUAGUAGUAGCUAGAACAGAAAUAAGAGGAUCCUUUCACUGGGAACGCUAGGACUACUAGAAUUAACCAAAAUCCACAGAACAACAUCUACUAAAGGGUGUCCAAAGUACACAAUAGCCAUCCAUAUGAUCCACUAUGUAGCCACCCAUGUCAUGACAGUGACAAUUUUUUCUGGUUUCCCUUUCAGCAUAGAGCACUAAGGCUGAAAUGGUGCCUGGGUUUCCAACUUAAAGGUUGCUAGUCAUGUCAGGUGCUAGCGCCACUUUUAGAAAUUACUCUAUAGCUGUACACGGAAUCAAAUUUGCUGGUUGGCAAAUUUGAUUCCAUUGUAUACAAGCUCUUGGGGAACUUCACCACAAGAUAUGUCUAUAUUUUGAAGUUGCGUCUUUUCAGUAUCUAUUUAUCAAAUAUGUAACAUUAUGAAAAAUCACACAUUAUAUGUAUAUCAUCUCUCUCUGUAUAUAUAUUUCUCUAAUUUGAAUUGCAUGAACAAUGUAAUCCUAUCUUUUUUUUGUUUUCUGUAUUUUUACCCUGUUAGAACAUAUCGUUUCUUGCAGCCUAAAAUCCUGCUUAUGAAACAAAUUUUUAUAGUAAUGAGAAAUUUAUCUUCCACGGAAGUGUAGACUACAAAUAUCAUCUUAUCCAAAUUUUAAGAAUAAGAAUGUGAAUCUUAGCAAAAAUUAUUGAAAUGAAAAAGGUACAAAUGAAGUUAACCUUGUAUACUGAAUUAACUUAUUGUCGGCUCCUCGGCUCCUUUUUUUUUCUUUUCUUUAUUCAACUCUGUUUUUGCAUAGAGAGCUUCUAUUUAUACCUCCAAAAACACCAUUUAGACCUCUUGCUAAAUGGACCUCCAAUUUACUUUUAAAAAAAUUAAAAUGAUAUCUACACCUCAAUUUUCCCAAAACGACCAAAAUUUGGGAUUCUUCUCCCCGAACCAUGUCUUUUCCCCUCCACCAAACUCAGUGUUAGGGUUUCACAAAAUUUCUUUUUCCUUUCGGUCCGACUGCGAUUCCGUCGACAUUGCCGCCAGACGGGAGCUUGAGGGUGUCCAGUCGGUGGUCAUGCCCCUGACGGCUGGUGGUGGUGGAGCGAAGGAGAUUGUUUACUGAUAGGGUGAAUUAAGAUGCUGUUGCUGUCUGUUGUUUGUCUGAGAGGUUGGUCUGGCAAGGGUUGGCGGAGGACAUGCGUCGUCGUUCGAGCGUGUAGGCGGUGAGGCGGAUGGGUUGGUGGUGCCAUUUUGAAAGGUAGAUCGAGAUUUUGCUCGACCUAGAUCGACUUUGAUCUGAGUUAUCUUUCUCGGCAUCUGUCUGCUUGAAGGUUAUGAAUGGUUGUGCCUCCUCUGUGUGUGACGAUUGCGGCGGAGCCCUCUAGAUGGCGCGCGACUCAGUUAGCUGGUCGGCUGAUCGGUGGACAGUCGCAGGGAGGCUGCUUUUGGGUCGGGACAUGACGUGGAUGGUUUUUGAGUUCCAAUGAAUGGGGUUGGGUUUGCACACUAUGAGCCCAGUUUGGGUCAGUUUAGUUUUUUUUGUUUUGUUUUUGUUUUGGUGUUGUUUGCCGUUCCUCUUUUUGGGCAAAGGUACGGUGUUGGUUUUGGUUGGUGUUGUUGGUGGUUUUGGUAGGUCCAUGUUACUAUCGGUGUUAACGACGGUGUUUUCUUGUUGUCAAUGUAAUAGGGAGGUUGCUUAUAUGUUGUCGGCAUUGGUAUAUAGUGUUUGGUGAGGUUGUUUAUUCUUGAGGUUGAGAGUAGGAGUAUGUUACAUUUGGACCCUCUUCGGUUCAUUGUAACCGCUGGUAUGUGGGUAAGACGAAGUGUGAAGAUUUGUUUUCCACCACCGAAAUCUCUCAUGGUUGUAAAGGUUUUUCUCCAAAAAAAAAAAUCAAUAAAACCCUUUUUCUUUUAAAAGAUUUUGGGUAUCUGUCAACCAUAUAUUGUUUUCAAAAUCCAUCCAAUUAGUUCAAACAUACUAUUAGUUAUAUUGAGCCAAACUUGUUUGUUCAGGCACAAUAACAAUUAACAAAUAAAUAACUCUCCAAGUUCCUCAAGCUCAUCUUACAACAAAUGCGUCUAAACGAAAUUUAAAAAGAAACUGACAGAGAAGAAAAGCUAAUAAACAAAAAAAAAGAAUAUAGGGUUUACAUUUGGAGAAGAAAAUAAAGAAACAAACCUAUUAAAGAAAUGAUAAAUGGUCCAAAUAAUGUCUCAUAUUUUAGAAAUGUAAAUGUUUGAUAUCAGUAUCUUACUUUCUUAUCCUGACUCAAGUUUGGUAUCCGGAACCAUUUGGUUUGUUAAAAAAUUAAUACUUUUGUCUUUUCAUUAAACUUUUUUUUUCCUACCCUAUCUCCAUCUCUUUCUCUCUCUUCAACUCAUGAUGAAACACUCUGUUCCAAUUUGUCUUCGGUCUUUGCUCCUCAAUAUCUUGGUCUCAAAAUCCAUGUCAGUAAAUUAUAUAAUGCUCAAAACCAUAUACAGAUCUUGGGCUGUUCAUCUGGGUUGGUUAAGCCCCAAAGUCCCAAACUGCUAGAACCACUUGUUGUAGGCUCUCCUUCAUUUCUUCCCUCUCCACCAAACCAUUUUCAUAUUCUUUUGCUCCUUUCGAGAGCACUUGAUGAAAUACCAUUUGAUUCUCUGUCAUUCUCAUGAAUGGUAGUUACUUUAACAUUGUAUAUUGAAGAUGUGAAGGCUAAGAAACCUAGGUUAUCCAGAAUAUGUUGUAUAAGCAUUUAAUAUUUGUUCUCUUAUUGAAUUCUGCAUAGCGCCAAGUGAAUCAGCGACAGUUGAUGUGCAUAAUUUGAGCAGUUGAAAAGGAUGGUUCUACCUGUUUUCUAGCUGCGUGACAAAUCGAUUUCUCAUGUAGAGAACCAAAUUGUAAUAACAUGAACUAUUCAAAGAUCAAGAGGCCCUUCCAUCCUAGAAUCCGUAGUCCACACUCUUCCCCUUGCAGCACUCAUCACCAAUCCGAUUGUCAUACUGAAUUUCACCACCGCCAUAUAUAUAUAAACGUUAUGAAGCGGACGUCCGUACUGCACUUAAAGUACGGACGUCCCUCCGUUCUCCACCAGACGGCUCCGACAACGACGCACCUCCACCUGAGCGGACACCAGAGGCAUCCCUGAUCACUUUCUCUUGCCGGCGAGUCCGCCGAAUACCAGUUUGCAGCCAAGAUUAAUCUUGUCUGAAGUUUUGGGUCGAGGUUGCUGUCCAGACCUUCAAAUCGAUCUUGUCGGCAAGUGAAAGUGAUCGGGGAUGCCUCUGGUGUCUGCUCGGGUGGAGGCGCGCCGUCGUCGGAGCCAUCCGGUGGAGAACGAAGGGAUGUCCGCACUUUAAGCCCAGUGCGGACGUCAGCUUCAGAACGAGCCUAUAUAUAUACAACCUCGACCAGGGGGCGCACGUCCUUGAAAUAACUAAAGUGCGAACGAACUGAUCUGAGCCGUCGAUCACUUUAAAUGAAAAGCAACGGUGUACGAUUAGUUUCUCUAAAACCCAAAGCGGGUCAAGACAUGACCCGACUCUUCACGUACUCUUCAGUUUCUCUCUCUCCUUCUCUCAACAAUCUGGGCUCAAACUUCUAAUUUCUCCUCCCAAUAUCCAUGCAAUCCAAUCUAUGUCUUCUCUCCAUUGAUGAUUAAACUCGUAUUAGCUAGGUUGCACGAGUCGCCAUUGAAGCUUUCGUUUUCUUUCUUUCUGUUUCAAUAUUGCAGUUCUGUGGUACAUAUAGCUAGCCCUUGGGGAUUUCACGCCAAAAGUUGGAGAUUUGGAACCAUAUAAACUCACAUAGAUCGGUAUGGAUUCUGGAUUUCUUUUUAUAUGUGUGAUUUUCAAUCACAAAAUUUAGGGUUUUACCAUAUUUGGGAUUUUUCUUUGAGGAAAUUUUUCAAAUGGUGCCCCAAGUUAAGCUCAUUCAUCAUUUUGACAUCUCAAUUUUGAAAACUAUGAUAAUGGUACCUCAACAUUUAAACCCGAUCUAACAUUAGUUCACUUCGUGAUUAACACCGUUAAGUUGAACUUUAUCCAUGGGCAAAAUUGUCUUUUCAUAUUUUCCCUCCCCAAAUCUUUUCCCUCCACAAACAUUUCUCUCCAGAAUAAUGUCUUUUUUCCGAUCAGUAUCAGAAUUUGUGGUGAGCCAUAUGUCAGCUGCAUACAAAAAUUAGAGACAUUUAGAAAUUAUAAUACACCAUUGGUCAUUAAUAUCCAUCAUUAAAAGCAGCUUUUGCAACCCACCAGGGAGAGAAAAAAUCAACAUUGAUUAAAGUGCAUUUUGUAUCAAGGACAAAAGUUCAUGAACUAUGUUGCACGGACACGGACAUAGAGCUCUUAUCUAUUACAAUACUAUUUAAUCCCAUAUAACAAACAUGCUCUAAGGGUAGUGCAACAGGUUCUCUCUCUAAAUUUGGGGAGGAACUGGGGAUAGCUCAAAUCCAGAGGCUACUGUUAGGUUACUUGUGAGGAGUUCUUGUAAGCAUACCGAGUCUGCUUCUAGAUUUUAGGCUUUGUAGUCAGCUGAAUGUGGUGUAAAGUUGAGCUGUCAACUUGCAAAAAUUUGCAACUGUUGAUAUAUAUAUAUAUACACACACACACACAUGGAUUGAAUAUGUUGAUAUGAUUAACAAGGACGCAUCUUCAAUGCUCUUUCAGAUUAUGACACAGUAUAAUGACUGAAUGUGUUCAACGCCAUCAUUGACAUAAACUCUGGUCGAAUUUCAUCAGGAUUUUACCAUAGUAAAACACCACAACCUCAAACCCUCUCCGAGGAAAAAAGGUAGAAAGUCAAAUAUGACAUAAACAACAGUUGCAUAUAUGAACAUAGGACAUACAAGCACAGUAAGAUACAUGAUUUUAGUUCAAGCAGUGAUAGCUGCUAAACAGCUUAUACUGGCUGAUAUCGUCCCUGAGCUUGCAGUACUUGAAGCUCAAUGGUUCCCAAUAGACUUCUUACAACUACAAUGUAUGCCAUUCUUUGAACUACCUUACUUUCCACACUAUCAAAGCUCCAAAAGAUUACUCGGUCACACCAAGUACCAAAAAAGCAUAAGAAAUGACUUCAAGAUCUGUUAAAAGCACGACCAUACUGCACAAAACUACUUAAAGUACAUUUACAAUCUAAUUCAACUAGCUAUGGCUGCUGUUAAUCAUGCAUUACCUGAUAUCUUCUUCAGCUUGUAGUACUUAGAGUUGGAGUAGCCAUCUGCAUUGUUCCCAAUUUCCUCCUAAAACUACCGGUUCUCUUCCUAGAAUAUACAAGGUUACAACUACUUGGAGUUGGAGUAGCCAUCUGCAUUGUUCCCAAUUUCCUCCUAAAACUACCGGUUCUCUUCCUAGAAUAUACCAGGUUACAGCUGAGCCGGUUCUUAUCUUCCAAAGGCAGAAUACACUUGGGUAAAUCAGAAAAAGGGACUACCGCGUUGGAUUUGGGAUCCAACCAGGCAAUAGGAGUAGCAUUAGAAACAAAUUCAGCAGAAUCCAAAUCUACCUGAGUCUCUUGACUCUCCUCUGCCUCUGGUGGCAUACAUCUUGGCCAAUCCAAAUCUCUGAUCAGUGCAUCUACAGUGAUGUUUCUGUUAUCAUCAAUUACCUGAGUCUCUUGACUCUCCUCUGCCUCUGGUGGCAUACAUCUUGCCCAAUCCAAAUCUCUGAUCAGUGCAUCUACAGUGAUGUUUCUGUUAUCAUCAAUUACCUUCACCACCAGCUCUUCCCACACAUCUCUAAUCGGACACGUCCACUCCUUGAUAUUCUCCUCAAACCCCUCUGUGACCCGCACGUCAUACCAAAUCUGUUUCAGGGACACACCAGCAAUGAAACAUUCUUGCUUGUAUUUCUCUAUCAGCUCAAGAAACACCCACACCCCACGCUGCUGCCAACUGUCUGUAGCCUCAUCCCAGUCCUGCGUAAUUCGCAGCUUAUCAAUUCCAGUCUUGAGCUCAUCCCCCAAAUCCGGAAAGAAGAUCAUCCUCUCCUCUGCAAUCACAAUGCACAUCAAUCUCAAGACCUAUACCCAACAAAACAUCGAUUUUAAAGAAACAUAUACAUACUAAAUUCAUGUUUCACAAUACAUUAUUCCACUAAUCAAUAGUCAUUCUAUAAAUCAAGGUACAUGCAUGUAAACGAACAAUCAAAGACAAUGUUGAAAACAAAACCUGAACCAUCAUUAUGAUCGAAGAUGACACCUUCGCACCAAGCUUCAUCAAGAAAAUAAUCAACACAGAGACCAUACUCAAGUUUAGAUUUUGAUAACUCAAGCUUGGGCGGAAAAGGCCUUAUACUCCCCCGAUAGCAACUCCGGUCCACAUUGCCGGAAUCAAGGCCAUCCAGAAUGGGUGAAACGGGAACGACAUCAACAACACUAGUGCCAUCAUCGUUCUGAAAAUUAUGGUACUUGACGUGACGACGUCGUUUGCAGUCGAUGGAAAUCACAGUCCCCGGGUGCCAGGAACCCUGAAACCCUUCUUCUUCACUCCUCAUUUCGACUUUGGCAUUACUGACAAGCUUUCUUUGGGUACGCUGCUUCCUCUUCCUAGAUUCCAACGCCGCCAUUGAAAUUGAGAGCCACGGUUUAAAGUGGGGAAGUGGAAUUUAAUCCAAAAUGAGUAACUGGGACAGUGUCGCUACUCGCUAGGGUUUGAGCUUUGGGGGUUUUGAUUUGGAAGAACCAGAGGAAGAGAUGGAUAAGGGUGCGGUGGUCCUUUUCUUUUUUGGGGUUACACUCGACCUAAAAGCCAUGUUAUAAAAGGCGCCGGGCGCUAGGCGGGCGGUAACCCACGGCCUAGAGUCUGGACAGCCUAGGCGAGGAUUAGGCGGGGACUAGGCGAUUUGUAUUUUUUUAGAUUUAUUAAUUAAAAAUAUAUAUUUUAUACAAUUUAAUAUUUGAAAACGGUCAAAUAUAGAUAAAUUAUUCAACAUAAUCUAGUCAUACUCGUUUAUAAAAUAAAUUAUAACUAAAAUUUAGCAUAACUUCCCGUAAAAGUGAGCAACAACAACAAUAAACAUAUACACUUCUAAUUUUAAACACACAAUUAACUCUUAUACUCUCAUACUCCCCACAAUAUAACAAUCCCAUCACAAAAAGAAAACAAAAUUAGCCGAAGAGCUUAGCAGCCUAGGCGGGCAAGGCGGCGUCUAGGCGGGCUAGGCGGCAUUUAGGCGAGCUAGGCGGCCGCCUAAUAGCCCACAGCCUGGCACAAAGGCCUAGAAGAAAAGCGAGGCGGCUUGUUGCAGCCUAAAACCUAAGCGGGGACUAGGCGGUCCUAGGCGGGGCCUUUUAGAAGCUUGCCUAAAAGGCAAUACAAAAUAAACAAAAUUUUUCUGUACUGUACCAACUCACAAUUUAUUACGCACACGGAGGUUUUGUUUUUUUAACACACAGAUGUCUAGUUACACCCCUGUGCUGAAAUUUUUAUACACGAUAUUUUCAUCUUUACCCAUAUUAUUUUGGCCCAAUUACAUAGAAGUCCAGUUUGAGACAUUUUCUUCCAAAUAGGUCCACUCAAAUAUUUUUAUCCACAUAAGUCCACCCAAGCUUAAGUAGAGUCUUAUAUUAGGUAUUGAAGUUCAACAAAAUUACAGACUGCCAUCCAACAAAAAAAAUUAGAUUUUCUCUCUUAUAUUUACAAAAAUGCCACUAAUGUAAAAAGUCAACAACCUCAAAUGGUCUCCGGCUGACCUCCGGCGAGGUCUCCGGCAAACUUUUCGGCUUGACUCCAACGAAUUUUCGACCGACCAUAAGUGAGGAUUCUAAUGACCACAAAAAUUACUACCAUUGACAACAAAAUAUACUAUCGCCGGCAAAGAAAAGUACUACCACUAACAACAAAAGAUACUACCGAUAACAAAAAAAGUUACUGCCACCAAUAAAGAUACUACCGAUAACAAAAAAAUAUACUGCCACCAAUAAAGAAAACUACUACCACCAAUAAAGAAAGCUACUACCGAUAGCAACAAAAACUACUAUUACCAGCAAAGAAAGCUACUACCAGUUACAACAAAAGAUAUUACCGCCAGCAACAAAAGAUACUACCGCCGAUAAAGAAAGUUACUACCACUGACAACAAAAGAUACUACCGAUAGCAAAAAAAGCUACUGCCACAAGCAAAAAAAGCUACUACCGAUAGCAAAAACUACUAUCACCAGCAAAGAAAGCUACUACCACUUACAACAAAAGAUACUACCGCCAGCAACAAGAGUUACUACCGCCAGUAAAGAAAUCUACUUUCACUGACAACGAAAAAUACUACUGUCAGCAAAAAAAGAUACUACUGCCAACAACCAAAGCUACUACCGCCACCAACCAAAGCUACUACCGCCACCAACCAAAGAUACUACCGCCAUCAACAAAAACUAUUACCACCAACAAUAAAAUCUACUCAUAUGAGAUUGAGAAAGAUACUAACAUAGACAUAGAAAGAUACUAUCCAAUGUAAAAAAGAUACUACCAUUAUUUCUAAAAGAUAUUUUUCGUUAUUACAAUAAUUGUUCUUCACAAAAGAUACCGCAACAAUUAUAGAUUACUACUACAAUACUUGACGCGGCUCACCUUCACUCUCUGCAACAAUUAUUUACAAAGCUACUUAUAUGGUUGUGAAAAGCUACUACUAUAGUUUGGGAAUCCUACUACAAUAGUUGUUUAAAACUAAUGUCAAUUUUAAACCCAUUCAAACCGCUCUCACAAUAUUAUCCAAUGAAUGCUUCAUAUCAAUAAAGAACAUAAAAAUCUCAUCAAUAUACAUGCACCUCGCAUAUGGUUGUGUGUCCAUGGGUAGGUCACUGCAAAUUCAUAAUAAAGGAAAAACAAUAAGCUUCUAAUAUCAAUCAUAACCGAAUGACAAUAUCUAUUGCAAUCAUAAUAAGGUGCACAGAGUGAGAAAGCUACUAACACAAAUUGGAACAAACACCAGUAUGUAUAGAUACUACCUUAGGCACAUAAAGAUACUAUCAUAGUAGUAGAAAAAUACGACAACAAUUAUAGAAAGCUACUAUUGUGAUACGAAAAGUUAAUGUAGCCUUCUAAAAUGAUAUAAUUGUACAAAACUACUUCUGUCGUUAUAAAAAACUACUACCGUAGUUACAGAAAUCUACUAUAGCAGUAAUAUAAAGCUACUCUUUUUGAACUCUCACAAGCUUCACCUCCACUUGAUUUCCUGCAAUUCGAAUCAAAAUCACAAUCCGUCAACACAUGCGAAUCACACACAUAUCUCGCGUUUGGAUUUACAGAAUCGUAGAGAGAAACAAAAAUUGAAAGAAAGAACUGCGUUACCUUUGUGAGAUCUGAAGAAUUAGAAGCAGAUUGAGAUUGAUUUGACUCCGACGAUCUUGACGUCGAGAGGUCGCAACUCCAGACAGCAAGGAUGAUUAUCUGCGCGCCACCACGUAAUCAAACAGUGUGGUCCUUCAACACCUUUGUCAAAGUUCUGCACAUCACCGACGAAUCACCUUUGUCGUCACAGUCUCAAACUCAUACGAGAAGGUGCGGAGAAGAAGACGACGAGGCUGAUUGGAGAAGGUGCGGCCGGCGAGGACAAGGGGCUGAUCGGAGGAUCGGAAGAGGUAGAGGAAAGUCCACGCGCAUCCGGCAGAUCUACUAAGGCGCAUAAAUCUCUGCUUCAGUAGAGGAGGCGUGUGAGCGCGUCCGGCGAACAUGAGAUUCCAACGGCGGCAGGUGUCGAGCAGGAGGCGGACGACAUCGUCAGAGUUGGUUGGACCUUGUAGAUCCGGCUGCGCGUUGAGGAGAUGCAAUCAAGGCUAAACCGGAAGUCGCGUCGAGACGGCGGCGCCUUCAUCAUGGCGGCGUCGGAAUCGAAGCGGAAGAACGGGGAGAGAGAGAGAGAGAGUACUUUUUAAUUUUUUUUUUUUAAAAAGAGAGACUUAUUUUUUAGAAGGGAGAGGAUCAAACUUGGUGUAAAAGAGAGAAGGAUAUUUUGGGUACAUCAUAAAAGUAAAGUGACAGAUUUAGCCUUAAAAGUGGACUUGUAUGGGUAAAAAUGUUAAGAUGGACUCACGUGGACUUUUUAUACACGAUAUUUUCAUCUUUACCCAUAUUACUUUUCUGAAUACACCUCCACUAUGCCAAACAAUAACAUCUCUCUCUCUCAUCUGAACCCAAGCCUACAUUGCACGGAAACACGAAAACAUACGCGUUUCCCGUUUCUGAAACGUUUCGGAAACGAAACACACGGAAACACGACAGAAACGCGUUUCUCCUUCUUUGGAAACUCGGUGGAGUAAUUCUCCUGGAAACGUGGGGAAAACUUGAUAUUUUACCCUAACAAAAGGGAUUAGGUCGUGUUCGCUGCUCUGUCUCGUCUUCGUGUUCGUCUGCUCCGUCUCCUCUUCGUGUUCGCUGCUCCGUCUCGUCUUCGUGUUCGUUUGCUCUUCGUCUUCAUCUUGUCUUCAUAUCCUCUUCGUGUUGGACUGCAAAAUUGAAUCAAUCAUGUUGUAGCAGAGCCUUCUUCAGCAUCUCGAAGGCUUCGCUCACCUCUUCCUCCACUGCAGAGCCUUCUUCAGCAUCAAUUUUGGGUUUCGCCUCUACCUUCUCUCCUUCCUCCACUGUAGUGCCUUUUUAAGACCGAAUUUUGACAAGUUUCACUUAUGUCAUGCUUCUAUUAAUUGGUAUUGAUAGUUCUCUUUGCGAUUCAGUAAGUUUUUUCUUAGAAUGGUUAUGGAUUGUUGUCUUGUUGAUGCCUUAUAGAAUGGUUAUGGUUUGUUAGGUUGUAAGAGUUGCUAAUUACUAUGCAUUGUUGAUGCCUUAUAGAUGUGGAACAGUUGAAGUUCUUAGGAGCUAGUUGAUUGGUAUGGACAGUUGAUGCCUUUUCUGGAAGUCACUUAGCUGUUCAAUUAUUAGCUAGAAUCUAUCUAUUUCUUAUUAAAAGCUGGAACAAUAGGGAGGGAGGAAGAGAUGAGAGGAAUUGAUAAGCAUGUUGUCUCUGUCCUGUUUGCUGCUGCUGUUUGAUUACCUUGUUGGUGUGCAUACCCUGUUUGCUGCUGCUAUUUGAUUACCUUGUUGAUUUAGGAACACUAUGCUAAGAGGGACACCUCCUGUUAGGGCAAGUGCAAGUGCAAGUGCAAGUGCAAGUGCAAGUGCUAAUGCAAGUGUUAAUGCCGGUACUAGCAAUGAUUCCAAUGAAGCGGUUGGUCCCGAAAUUGAGAUGAUAGAUGGUAGAGCACCAUUGUGGAAAUAUGUUAAGAAGAUUGAAAAGUGCGGGACUUGUGGAGGAAGUUGCAGGUGGUAGUGUAACUUCUGUCAGUUGUAUUAUAAUGGGUCUCACACUAGAGUGCGACAAUAUCUAUUGAAGGAAGGAGGAGUGGGGGUUAUCGUUUGUAAAAAAGUUAACCCCCAUGUAUUUGCUCAGAUUACUAAAUUGGUGAAGGAUUGCAAGGAGAGAAUAGCAAAUAGAGAAGCAAGACAAGUUCCUUUGCCAUCAUCAACAAAAGGGAGUUCAGCAGCUCGUGGCAGCUCUUCUUUUGUGAGUUAUGGUGACUACACAAGAGCACCAACAACAGCAGCUGAAGGGAAGAAAAGAAGGGCAGUAGGUGGUGCUAUUGAAAAGUCAUUCCAAAACGAAUCAAGGGAAGAAUGUAAUGGUGAGAUUGCUAGGAUGUUUUACACCAGUGGUUUAUCCUUCAAUCUAGCAAGAAAUCCACACUAUCGGAACUCUUAUUUUAGAGUUUCUACUCUUUCGGGCUAUGUUCCACCGGGUUAUAAUGCUAUAAGAACAACACUCCUUGCUAAUGAAAGGAAGAAUCUUGAGAAUCAAUUGAUGCCAUUGAAGUUUGCAUGGAGAGAUAAGGGUGUGAGCAUUUGUAGUGAUGGUUGGUCCGAUGCACAAAGAAGACCCUUGAUUAAUGUGAUAGCUGUUUGUGAGAGUGGUCCAAUGAUGUUGAAAGCUGUAAAUUGUGAAGGAGAAUACAAGGAUCAUCAAUUGAUUGCCAACUUGUUUAUUGAUUCUAUUAAGCAAGUUAGUUAUGAAAAUGUAGUGCAAGUAGUGACCGACAAUGCUCAUGUUUGUUCAAAGGUCGGUGCUUUGAUAGCAAGUAAGUAUCCUACUAUCUUUUAGACUCCAUGUGUUGUUCAUACUUUGAAUCUUGCUCUUAAGAAUAUUUGCACACCUUCUCAACCUUUAAACAAUGUGGAUGUGUAUGUUGAAUGUUGUUGGAUACAACCGGUUGUGGAGGAUGUUAUGUUUAUUAAGAAUUUCAUUAUGAAUCAUGGAAUGAGAUUAGUUAUGUUUAGUGAUCAUUGUAAUUUGAAGUUGCUUUCGGUUGCUCUCACAAAGUUUGCAUCUACAUUUAUUAUGCUCAAGAGGUUUAAGACGAUCAAAAAUGGUUUGCAACAAAUGGUGAUUAGUACAAAGUGGGAUGAUUAUAGAGAAAAUGAUUAUAGGAAGGCGGGUAGGGUGAAAGAAAUGUUGUUGGAUGACUUAAUGUGGGAUAACAUUGAUCAUAUUCUUUCUUUUACCGAGCCUAUCUAUGAGAUGAUUAAGAAGGCGGAUACAGAUAAGCCUUGUCUUCAUUUAGUGUAUGAAUGGUGGGAUAGUAUGAUGGAGCAAGUGAAGAAGGCUAUUUAUAGGAAAGAAAUGAAGCAAAUUUAUGAAAAAUCUUCAUUUUGGGAUGCGGUGCAUAAAAUUCUAUUGUCUCAUUGGAGCAAAGACAAUACACCCCUCCAUUGCUUGGCACAUUCUUUGAAUCCCAAGUAAGUACAACACCUACCACUAGUAAAUAAUUUCAUUAUAAUUUGCUUAUUUCAUAAUUAUUUGAUCUCGAACAAAUCUUAUAGAAAUUAAUAAAUUAUGCAUAUUUAUAUUUAGUUUGGAAUGGCUUGAUGAAGAUUCCCAUCGGGUUGCUCCUCACAAGGAUUUAGAUGUUACAAGGGAAAAGAAAAAUUGUUUUCUUCGAUACUUUACCAAUGAGGAUGAUAGAAGAAAUGCUAACAUAGAGUAUGAUAAUUUUUCUGUGUAUGCAAGGGUUUGGAAGUGGAGAUGUGAUGAAAGAUAGGUUAUAUUAGAGCCACUAACAUGGUGGGUGAUUCAUGGAUCUUCGACACCAAUUCUCCAAACCAUAGUCUUUAAAGUGUUAAGUCAACCUUCUUCUUUCUCAUGUUGUGAAAAGAAUUGGAGUACUUACAAUUUCAUUCACUCUUUGAAGAGGAACAAGUUAGCACCACAAAGAGUGGAAGAUUUGGUAUUUGUGCCACUACCACAAAAAAACAUCAGACCACGGCCAAAAAACAUCAUCUGAUUGUUCAGAUUACCGUUGUCUUUUUGCCUGCCAUCUGAUAUAUUGUAGAAACGUCGUCUAACUACUGUCGACAGCCAUGGAAUGUCGAUAGCGUACCGACAUAUUUUGUGUCGUGUGACAUACAAUCACAUCACGGUUUUACAGAAUAACAGUUAUGUGAUCACUAGUCAUACCACGCUUGUUCUGAGAACUGAUAUCUAAUAUGGACUCACAAGUCGGUUUUAAUGAAAAUUUUCAGUUUAAUUUAUUUCCAGUUAUAUAUAUAUUUUAUUAUAUCUUUUUUCAUAAUCCAGUUUCAUAUUUAGAAUAAAAAUAAUUUCAAUAAAAAUAAAUAUUCAAUACACAUUAAUUUCAAUAAAAGCAAAGAGAAAAAAUGUAUUCCCAUCUUCUUUUAUUCCUUUCUCAAAUCAUCAUUACAAUAUCUAUACUGGAGAACAAUUUUUAAAACAUUACAUAAUACAAGCAACUACAUAAGGGUGAGCCUUCUAUAAUGACAAAUUUGAACUUGCAGAAGAAGAAUUGUAACAGAUGAUUAACCUUCAAUCUUCUACUCUGAAUAUUCUACAAAUGCAGUGCAUAGCUAUGAGAACGAAUGUGCUGCAACUUUGUAAGCAGCCAUUUCGAGUGCACCUCAUCACCAAACUCGUACAUAGAAGGAAUCCCGAAACGACAGUUCUUAAAGAAUACUGGAUAUUGGCAGCAUGGCAUCCUUUCUUAUAGAUGCAUUCACUGGGAGGGAACCAUUUCAGUAAUCAAAUCAAUCUCACUCUAGAUCACCACCACAUCUUAAACUAAAAUGUAGCAUCACUCUGACGUUUGAAAUCAAAUGCAUCUACUUGAAACAGAGUUUCUGCAAUGACGAUCAUGUAAUUCCAAUCAAUAAAUAGUAUAUGCAACUUUGUGUUUCCAUGCAACAAAACGCUUCAGUUGCCAAAAGAAAAAAAUCAAAUGCACAAGAAAUUAGAUAAGUCAUUUUGGUGACAUUAGAGCACAAGAACUAAAAUGCACAAGGAAGCUUUGACAUACCAAAACAACAUUUACAUAUGACAUAUACAUUAUUCAUAGUCAGAUAAACAUGCAACAAAUAGAUAUACAAAGUAAAGUGCAUGACUGGUAAUGUUAAGUCUGUUAAUAUAGACCUUACCCAAGAAAGCUUAUCGGCUCUUUAUUUUACCAGAAAUGAGAACAGGUAUAGUGGUGUUCUUUUCACUUAAUUUGUUUAAAAACCUGAAAGCAUUAUGUCAUUGUAAAUAACAAGGCUAGGUAAAGAAACUAGAACACAAUCAUGGACUAACUAAAACAAAUGAACACUCACGACAAAAGCUAGGAAUUCAUUACAAUAAAUUAGAAGAAUUGUAAACUGUAAUCUUUGAGGGAUUCAAACCCAAGAACAACGUCAUGUGAUUUCCUUGAAAGUGCUAAGAGGAAGUAGAUUAUACAAUGAAACUAAAAUGCAACAGUUAAGCAACAUUGGUAACUUAAAAUUAUAUAUGAAGACAACUUAAAAUGCAACAGACAAGUUGCCAUUGAGCUAUUUAAAUCUUAAUAGGAAAACAAAAAGACAACUUAACAUAUGCACCAAAUUGAAGUGACAGGCACAAAUUACUGAACUAACCAGCGAAUUCCGGUAGCAAUUCUUUCAUUGAGCCAAAGCAUCUUCACUCAGAAAUCCUUGAAGAAAAACAAAACAUCUCAUAAUCAAAUACAAUUAUGAAUAACAAAGCAUCUCAUGGUCACCCAGAUAUUAUUGCCUCUCCCAGAUGGGUGCUUAAAUGGCUUGAGAGCCUAUUCAUUUCAAUUUGAAUAAGAAGAUAGAUGUUUGAGAACCUAUAACCAAUUAAAAGAAUAGAACAGAACAGAACAUAACAUCAUAUACAAAACACAAUAAGAGAAACUCUUCUCUACUAGCACUUGCAAGGUACCAGAUAGAGUAUCAUGCACGUGAGAAUCAAUCACCUAAAAUGCUGGAGAAGUUAGACUUGAGAGCAUCACAUAGUAGAAGCAAGCACAGAAAGACCUACUCUUUAAGUCUGUUAUCAAGAAAUAAGGAGGUCACUGCUUUAGCUUUCCAAAUUGUUCCAUAAUUUUCAAUCCUAAACUUAAAGAUCCAGUUUCACUUAAAAUUCAAAGCUUCUAAAUAUUCACUAGUAACAAAUUACCUACAACACACAAAUCCUAACUUUCUUACUUCUUCAUUAUACCACCAACAGCAACUUCAAGCUACUAAAAGGACACUGACCGGAAAAAUAAGCCUAAAACAUAUCCAUGCUAAGGAACUCCAACCAUUUUCAAAGUUUAACUAAAGAAAGCAUACUGUUUGUAAGGAACAUCUGAAAGCCCCAUAAGACAUCAAGAGACCCCUUGCAUCUGUCCCUCUUCCCAUCAAUGAAAAGCAAAGUAGCAGACAUGAACGUCCACCCAAUCACAAAGUUGAAUACCCCUUCAAACAUCUGAUUCAAACUUACAUCCCAUUCAAAUCCACAUACUUCAAUUGGCAGUUAAAUGUAACCAAAUCUACUUACCAAAAUUAAUAAAAUAUAACUGAGGCAUCAAUAAAAUUAAUACCAACUACUCUUCCAUAAAGUUAAACCACAGAAAUGAUCAAGAACACAGUAAACAGAACUUCACUACCAAAAUACAUAAUCAACUUGAUUUGAUCAUACCAGAGUAGAGGCAACACAAAGAAGAAAUCCAAAGAGAGGCCCAGAAGAGAAUUUCUUUGUUUCUGAACCUAUAGCCCACACUGGGUCUCACUGCAGUAUUAGGAAACCCAAAAUCAUUAAUAGCCAUAUAUGAAUUUUGCUCAUUCAUUUUAAGAAAGAAAAAGAACCCAGAAAAUAUUUGAAGUACAAUUACAUACAGGAGCAUAAAGAAGGAGAAAUGAAAGGAGUCCAGUAGAUAUGAAGCAAACCUCAUGUGUUUACAGAACUGCAACACUUCUCUCUUUGGGGUAAGUCAUAUUACAUACAAAGCACUUGAUGUUAGUUAUCUUUCUCAUUGGUUAAAGGCAAUGCAAACGUUGUACCCAAUAUAGUAAUCAGUUAAAAGAUAGUGCAAACUAAUUAAAUCAAGUUAUAUACUAAUCAAAUUUCCAGAACAUCUUAGUAGAGGAUGACCUCACUGUCCACCUCCCUUGGAGCUUGGCCUGUGCUAGACUCAUCAUAGUUCCACUUGGGAAGUUUUGAGGGGUCACUUACUGGUCCUGGCAACAUCUUCACACACCCAAAAACUAUUAUUAUUCUCUCAAUCAAUUAACCAUACCAGAAUAGAAUAACAAUGAGAAACUGCAGAGAAGUUACUAACCCUUGAUUUGCAGAUAAGUUACAAAGAGAAACAACAAAGAACUAGCUGGAAUAUAUGCAAGCCAAGUAGCUGAUUGGAGAGUUCUCCAACAACUUCUUACAAUAGGAACUGAUCGAGUAGCAAUUAUCAACUCUGUUUUCUUGAUCGGUGACAAGAAGUCAACAAGAAAUCAGUUGAUAAGAUAGAAAACAACAUAAGCUGAACCCAAGUCUCUAUUAGUGCUAUCAUUUCCACAAUAUGGCUGAUUAUUGACUUGACUUGGUAGAGAUCCUCGGUCAAUUUAUUUAGUAAGACAGAGCUUUCGUUUCAGAAACUUCUCACAGAGAACCUUGUUGACUUGUGACAAAGAGAGACUGCAGAUAAGUUACUAACCCUUGAUUUGCUUCUGAGGUCCAUGCCAGAUCUAGCAAUCCUGUGUACAAAAACACAUUAUGAGCUUCUCUAUAGACUCUCUCUAUCUCUCUCCCAACCUCACAGAAAGACGCACUAUAGCCUAUAGGCUGACCUGACUGAUCCGUGGAGAUUCCUUUGUGAAACCUAUAGGCUGCUCCCACGUUGGUGUGAAUCCAUUGAACAACCCAACACAAAAGAAGAAACAGUUAGAAAUCCCUAAACUAAAAACCCUAGAAAUUUCAAUUGAGAUUAAAUUGGGGACAUUUACCUUUGGGAGAAUAUCAGCUUUGAAGCUAGCUAGACUACGGUGAAGGGGUUCUUCGUAUGAGAAUAUGAGUUUUGAGAAGACGGAUCAGAUGCCUUGGGAUCUCCUAGGCUGCCCUUGGAACUUGCCGAACUCAUUAUCGGAGAUUAAAUUCGAAACCGUAGGGAUGAAAUCCAAGUGGGGUUGGCUCGCCGACAGCUUCGUCGUCGUCGUCAUCUCCGACGAGGUAGAGAGAGUAGAUGUGGGUUGAGAGAGAGAAAAAAACGAGGCUGUGGGUGAGCAUCUGUUUUUUGUUUUGGUCUAGCGAAUAUGUCGAGAGAGGUGAGGCCGUCGGUUACCUAGCUGCUUAGGUUUUUUUUUUUUUUUUUUUUUUUUUCUAAGUGUUGGGGGAAAGUUUAAGUUUGGGCUGAAAUGUGAGAAAUUUUUAAAUUUUAUGGGCUGACGUGGUCCUCCGAUCCAAUCAAAUUUAGACAUGUGAAUUUUUACAACUAAAAUAUAAACAAAUAUUUUCUAUUUUUUGUGAAAUAACAUUCAUGGGUAUUUAGCAAGUUCAAACUAGGGUCUAGGGUAUAGGGUUUAAAGUUAGAGUUUAGGGUAUAGGGUUUAGGGUUUAGGGUUUGGGGUUUAGGGCUUAGGGUUUAGUAUUAAAAAAACAACAAAAAACCUAAAAUGGUCUUUGACAAAAUAGCUGAAAUAAUUUUUCGUAAAGAAAAUCUGCAUGUUUAAAUUUGAUUAGAAAGUAGGACCACGUCAGACGGUCACGUGGUCCUCCCGUAGCACUGAAAAAUUUCUCCUGAAAUGUUGGGGGAGGGGUUCGGCAUGUUGAUAUUUAAGCCAAGCGGCAAUUAGGUUUCAUUCAUUUUGACAACCAAUCACACAACAUUUAAACUAUAAAUGUGGUCUAAUGCCCAAAAUUUAAGGUUUUGACAUUCCCUCCAUCAAGUUUCGUGUUUCCCCUACAAGUUUGGGGUUGAAUUGUGAGGAGAUGUCAGAGGAAAAUGAUGGGGAUAGGGUUUUGCUGAAAAUACAUCCACUCACACCACAGUUUUUUAACGAAUCGUGGUAUCACUCCUACAUGUUGGACACCAUUCAAUGUGGGAAACCUGGCACUCAAAUUUUUACACUUUCACAAGACAAUUUUUUAGAAAACUGACAUCUAAAAAGUUAAAAAUCAAUCAUACGAAGGGUUAUCAUUAUACGUCGUCUGAUAGACGUUGGUUAAAGCGGUUUUUGUGGUAGUGUGCAUACCAAUCUUCGCCUUUUAGCUAGGCAAUGCCCAACUUACAACAAAGGUGCAACUCAUAAGUGGGAUAUUGGAGGUGAUGACUUUGAUUCAUUGGAAGACUCUAAUGUUGGAAGGCUUGAGAUUGCCAACCUUUCACUUGAUGAGCCAUUGUUGGAGUCGGUCUUGUUUGAAGAUGAUGAGUUUGAAGAGGAAAACAUUCAGGAGGAUGAUGUUGUUGAAGCUUAAUUUGACUUAUUUGUAUUUUAAUUUGAGUAUUUGAAUAUGGAUCUUUUCUCAAACAUUUGUUUGGUUUGGAUUUGGAUUGACUAUGUGAUGAAGAAUCUUUGUUAUUUGUAUUGUAAUUGAUUAUGCAUGCUUGUUUGGAUUUAGAUUGAUGUUUUUUAGUAAGAAACUAUUUUUUGAUGUUAUUUUUUUAAUUAUAUUUAUUAUAAUAAAUAUUAUAUUUAGUUUAAUUUUGACGUUUCGAUUAUGCAUGCACAUUUCGUAUCGGACUAUAUUUGAUUUUGAUGUUUCCGCGUAUCGGAUCAUAAUAGAAACGGAAACUUCCGUGCAACAUAAACCCAAGGUAUUUUGAGAAGCUCUCUCUCUCUCUCUCNNNNNNNNNNNNNNNNNNNNCUCUCUCUCUCUCUCUCUCUCUCUCUCUCUCUCUCUCUCUCUCUCUCUCUCUCUCUCUCUCUCUCUCUCUCUCUCUCUCUCUCUCUCUCGUCUGAAUUCAAGGUAUUUUAAGAAGCUAGCAAGCCCUUGGGUUUGUCUUAGGUUUUGAUUGUUGGGAAUUGAUGAGCAUUGAUUAAGUUCUCUCUGGGCGAAAUAAAACCAAUUUUUUGUACGUGCAUAAUUAUAUAACCCAGAACUUUGAUCGUGUUAACAAACUUAAUAUCAGAAACAACAAUAAAAUUUAAAUUGAAUAUUUACUGUUAAACAUACCGAAAUGCUCCACCCAAAUUAUUGACUUUUUAUUCGCCUAGCAGAACAGUAGCAUGACAAGAACAAGACCACGAGAGAAAAUAAUUGCCAUGGAUGGGUGAUAUUUCAGUAUGUGAUGAGAAAGCAACAACACAAUAGCCAUGGAAAUUGGGUUUUUUUGUUUUUUGUAUGUAAGGGUAUAGUUGAGAUAAAUUUUUUUCAAAAUUUAAGAGAGGUACACGCAGCAAAUUCGGAGGUGUUAGCAGAACCUCCCAAUCACAUAUACCCCAUUCAAAAGGAUUUGAAACACAAUUACAUCAAUCUACAUUUGUUUCAAACAAAUAAAGACAAUUUCUAACAAAUAAGAACAGAUUGUUUUAAGCUUGUCAUGUGUCAUGUUUAAUUUACCAAACUGACCUUAGACAAAUUAAAUGCAAUUAAAUCAGACCCCACCAUGUCUUACUUUAGUUGCUAUUGCACUUGCUGGUAUGUUACUGCUAUUGUCAUGGUUUAAUUAGCUGCUAUUAUAUUUACUGGGUAAUUAGUUGUUAUUGCACUCUUUAAAUAGCUGAUACUACACUUGCUAGAAUGUUACUGCUAUUGUCUGCUGUCAUGGUUUAAAUAGAUGCUACUGCACUAUAGCGGUGUAAUUAGUUGCUACUGCAUUUGCUGGAAAGUUAACUGCUACUACACUAAUAUUCUUCAAAUCCUGCUACUACCAUCUCGCUAGAAUUUAGCUGCUACUAAACUUGUACUCGUCAUGUUCUUCUACUACACUGAUACUCUUCCAAUCCUGCUACUACACUGAUACUCUUCCAAUCCUGCUACUACAUUGUUAUUCUUCUAAUACUGCUACACUGGUACUCUUCCAAUCCCGUUACAACAUUAGCAAGAAAUUCAGUUGACGGUACUACAUCCUUCCUGGCCAUCUAUAAUAAAUACGCAACAACAUCAUCAAUCACAUAAUCUCUCCAAUCCUUCACCAUUAUCCUCCAAACCAAGCGCAGUAGCAACAACACUGUUUUACUUUGUCUUUCAGCACCAUUAUAAUCAACAUUUAUGACAUGAACAACUCAUUUCUCAAUUAAUCUAAAUCACUAAAGGCAGCUCUUAUUACCUUGCUCUUUCCCGCAAAUCAUAACACUGAAGAACUUAUGCGUUAUAGACUUAUAGUAGCCUUUAUUACAGAGUAGUCGCAACACUUCUGGGGACCACCAACUCCAACAUCGCACUUGAUCAGACAAUAGUGGUUCGAAACCAUGAUUACAAAUCUCUUACAGCGAUUGUAGGGCUCCGGGUGGAUUCGACUGCUCCUAUCGGACCAAUUGACGACUGGAAAGCGUGGCCGCUGGAGAUCUACAGACGGUGGCCAACAAGAACGACAUUGUUAGCUUGGAUUGGGGUUCUUAAGGUAUGGGAUUGGAUUUGGGCUUUUGGGCCUCGGUUUGGGCUUAUUCCUUUAUGCGGGUCUUUUGGUGGACCUGAGCCAAACCUUGUCCUGAAAUUGUCUACUCCGUCUCACAUGACAUCCUUGAGAUUUGAUCGAGGAUAGGCUAUCUCUAAUAAUAAGGGCAAGGAGGUAGUUUAAUUUCCUUGUAUCUUACCUAGACAUCUGAUGGAAGACUAUUCUUGUUUAAAUCUCGAUUUUACUUAGUUGUACACCAAUUGAAGUCCGUAGGCAACGACUAUUUCCGCUACAUGAGAUUUAGAUAGAAAUAGUUGGAAGUUAGAUGUGAUAGGCUUAAUUGAGUGGAUUAUGUAAAGGGGUCUGGUUCAAGGGACACUCUUUUUAACACAAAUUUUGACACCGAUUGUGAGCCAUUGGAUUUUAAAAUGCUCAACGGUCCAAAUUUAUUAUCUGAAUGAUGUCAGCACAACACCAAGUGAUGUCAAAAUUACAUGUCAUUUUAUAUUUCUAAUCUCAUAGUAAACUUUUCUUCAAAGCAAAAUUAAAAUCUGAAAAAUAAAAAUCAACAAAACCAUAAAAAAAACAAGGGUGCGGCUAUUGUCAGCCCACCAAAUGCUUAGUUUACCCUACAUUAAAAUUUUACACAAAAUAUUCUAAUAUUAAACCCCACAAUCAAGCAUUUUUGUGAAAAAAUAAAAUAGAACUAAAAUCUAUUAAUGUGAAACGACAACAAUUCUCUAUACUGCAUAUAUCUCUCAAAUCAUAUUUGAUAGUCGCUUCAAUCUUCAAAGGGGUGGUCAUCAUUGUGGUGAGAUUUUUAUUUUUUAUAUAUUUUUAUAUUUGUGGCUUCCUUUUUGAUAAACAGAGGACCAGCCACACAUUGAUAUAUAUAUAUAUAUAUACACACACACACACAGAGGAUGUGAAGCAGACGUCCGCACUCCGGCUUAAAGUGCGGACGUCAUCUGUUCUCCGCCGUCUCACACCGGCGACGGCUUCUCUCCUUCCCAGACGACAGCACAGGCUUCCAGGACGGUUUCUCUCCUUCCAAGACUAGUCGACGACAAGUUUUCCGGCCGGAUUGAAGCUCUGGACGGAAAACACCAUGAUUGAUCAAGGUUGGCCGGAAAACUUGUCGCCGGCCAGUCCUGGAAGGAGAGAAGCCGUCCUGGAAGCCUGUGUUGUCGUCCGGGAAUGAGAGAAGCCGUCGCCGGCUUGAGACGGCGGAGAACGGACGACGUUCGCACUUUAAGCCGGAGUGCGGACGUCCGCUCCACAUCCGGCCUAUAUAUAUNNNNNNNNNNNNNNNNNNNNNNNNNNNNNNNNNNNNNNNNNNNNNNNNNNNNNNNNNNNNNNNNNNNNNNNNNNNNNNNNNNNNNNNNNNNNNNNNNNNNNNNNNNNNNNNNNNNNNNNNNNNNNNNNNNNNNNNNNNNNNNNNNNNNNNNNNNNNNUAUAUAUAUAUAUAUAUAUAUAUAUAUAUAUACAGCCCUUCUCGGCUGCAGACGUCCGCACCAAAGUUUUUGGUGCGGAUUUCCAUUUUUGCACCACUUCCCGAUAGAAUUUCCUCAAACUUCCUUCUAGACAUAUUUAGAUUAUCUUGUGUAGAUCAUCUCUGCAAAAUUUCAGCCAAUUUGGUGAUCGUUAAGGCCCUCAAAAUGGAAAAACAAAUGGAGAUGAUGAACCGGACAGAAUUUAGUCCAUCAGAUUUGUUUUUCGAUUUUGAGGGCCUUAAUGAUCACCAAAUUGUCUGAAAUUUUGCAGAGAUGAUCUACACAAGAUGAUCUAGAUAUGUCUAGAAUGAAGUUUGAGGAAAUUCGAUCGGGAAGUGGUGUAAAAAUGGAAAUCCGUGCCAAAACUUUGGUGCGGACGUCCGCACCUGAGAAUUCAUGUGUGUGUGUGUGUAUAUAUAUAUAUAUCAAAAGGAAAAACCUCAAGAAAGAGAUCGAGGAAAUCAUAGGAUGGUUGAGAAAGUUGGAGGUAUGCGUAAAAUAUAUCAAUGAAAUUGUAAUUAUUCUUAGAUUCAUCUCUUUUAUAUUUUUUUCUUGAGAAAAGUAAAUCUCUUUUAUAAUUUGAAGUUAAAAGAAAGAAGAAAAAUAAAAAACAGAUUUUCUCAAACUGUUAAGGGUAAAAUUGGAACUCUAAGAGCAUAAAAUAAGACGUAGGGUGAACUGAGCAUUUGGUGAGGUGGAAAUAGCUGCACCCAAAAAGAAAAGGGAAGAAUAAAGCAAUAAGAAUGACUAUUGUUCUUAGGGUAUACAUGAUCAAAAGAGAAAAAAAACGAAAAAAGAAAAAAAACAGCAAAGAACCCAAAGACGUCAAUUGCCAGAAGCUAGAAACAUCGUCUUUUAAUUUCAAGUUGUCAUCCUAUUUUCCAGCCAUUCUCCCAAUUACUUUGCUAAUUGGAACUAAACAAUUCCACAAAUACUAGGUGGCAUUCAAAAUUCUAGAAUCAUGCAUAUUGAUCAUGAAUUCGACAUCAGUGGUAUCUAUGCUAAUUGCUCAUUGAUUUGUCACGUCUCAUCAAGGGAGAAUAUGUACAUGAAGAUGACAAAACCAAUUCAGAGAUUGAGAAUGGAAUCCCAAGGUGUGAUAAGGGAAGCUAUCGUGAUAAGCUAGAAUGCCAACCAACUCAGGGUGAAGGCACAAAUUACUUUUGUCUUUUGACACGGAGCGGAUUCAGUGCACCUUGGUGCACUUAAACCAUACUAACAGAUAUAGACGACGUUAGUCACACCCAACAAAAACGAGCCACGGUAAAAACCAAGGAAUUGAUUGCUCUCUCCUGCUUCCCAUUUAUCAAUCUCACCCCAACCAGACCUGACCUGAUUAACCAUCACCCAUACGUCUACAACCCAUCAUCGAUCGACUUGCUGAUGUCCUAGAAAUUAUCGAUCUUGUUCAUCUUGUGGAUGGAGGAUCAAAUUUUCCAAUCCCACUCUGACCGAAAGUGAACCCUCUCAUUAUCUCAAAUGUUGACUUUCUCGUUGGCGGCAUCGUUCGCGAAACAUAGUCGGAAUUUUGGGUUUCUUACAUCUGAGUUCAAAAAGCCAAGUCCCUCGACGGCAGCAUCAUAGAACCAAGUCCCUCGACAUCUGAGUUCAUAUGCAAACUCUAGUCAGUAAUAACUAAAGAAACCCAGCAAAUUUGAGUUUCAAGAGCCGAUAUUUAUCUUGGCUUGUGGCUAUAUCUCGGACAUGGGAGAACUGGGUUCGGAAUCAGAUUUGACUAAAAGAAGCUUAGAGGAUGAGAAAACGAAGAGAAAGGAGAUGAGAAUGAGCUUAUUGCCUUUUGCUGCAUGUAAUCGCCAUGGUUUGAUGAGGUGGGUUAAGUCUGGGCUUUUCUUCAUUCAGCUAAAGCAUUGCGACGGAUCUGCGACGUGGUUGGAUAUGGAAUCGAAGGAUUUUGGAUCAGGUUGUCGUGCGGGUCGGUCAGUCAGGUGAGACCUGGCCGAGGGUGGUGGCGUCUCUUGACCGUUCAUGGGAGUUUUGGAGUCAUAGAGUCAUGAAAGGAAAGGGAGAGAUGACAGAGAUGAUGUGGUCGUUUUGUACUGGUUGAUUAACUAGCUUUUUCUAUUUCUUUUUAGUUUACAUUUUCAUUUUGUAUUUAUUGAUACAAUUAAGUUUGUUUCUCUUUCUAUUUUAGUUACCUUUUUAUUCGUUCAUUUAAUUAUGUAGUUCUAUAGUAAUUUUUUUUAAUAGGGUAGUUCUAUAGUAUUGUAAAGCGUAUGGUUGAUUUUUUAUCGAUAUAUUAAUUUGUUUUUUCCAUAUAUAUUAAAGGCAUAUCAAUAUAAACUGUAUCAAGAAUGUUCCGUCUAUUUGAGUAUUAGGUCUAGUCGUCUAGAUAAAAUUCUAAAACUUAUUUUUCUGAAGUGAUGUUAAUAAAAUCAUUCAAAAUUUGAUUUUUAAAGAGUUUGCGACCACAUGCUUGAAUGCCCAAGCUUCAACUAUUAUGUAAGAAAUUUACAACUUAGGAGCUCCUGCCUCUAAAUUUAAUUACUCUUUGGAAAUUUUAAUAGAUAAAAACCAAGAGAUAUAAAUAGAUGUUUGGUUGAUCACAUUGAUCUGGCUCAAAUCGAGAAUGAAUGUGGCUAAAGUUUGUACAUACCAUUUUAACCAACUCCUUUUGCGUCGAUCACGUUGAUAUACAAUAAAUCCAGACAUUAGCGUAGAUAGAAGAACAAUCCGUACUAUAUAUUAAAUCUAAAAAUGGAUAAAUUUGAUAGAAAUUUGAGUAUUUAUUGUUUAGUGAAAGUUUUAUUUGUAAACAUAUCAAUCAAUAUACGGGUUGCAUGAAAAAAUAAAUAAAUUAGACCACAAAGAAUUUAUUCAAUGCUAAUAGAAAAGAAACUGGAAACAUAGACAUUGUGCAAUACCCACACCACCACAAGUUAAGCGUUCUGUAAUAGGUACAAUAUUUUAAAUGAAUCGUCGACGAUCCGUCGUCUUUAUAGUUACGGUGUUAAGGUUGAUCGUGCGGACGAACAUUUCAUUAAAGACAGUUAUUUGUUUUAAAUAUAAUAAAAAAUAAUAAUAAUAAUCCCUCUUUGCGUUUCUGGAAACCAAAAAGGAAAUAAAAAGUCUCAUUAAAAAAAGACUUAAUUGUGUAUCAAAAAAAAACAAAUAAAUAAAAAAUAAUAAAAGUCGAUCAAUUAUCAAUAACCUCUCCCAUUGAUAUUGGAAUUAAUUGCCCAUGUAAUAUUUAUUGUAGCUUUACCUAUUUUUACCAUGUUGAUUGGAUUUUUUUUUGUCUUAAUUAUUUAACGGUGUUAGCAUCGAUGUUAGUGUUAUACAAUUGACUGCAUUAAAUGAAUAAUUGUGAUUGGUCAGUGGCUAUUGGUUCACUUGUACCUUGAUGCACUGAAGAACUUUCGCUUUUGGCAUCAUUGCGUUUAGGGUUUAGUGUUUUCCUUGAGUUAUUUCUUCUUCUCUUCUUCUUCCUAUUUUUCUCUUUCGGAGUUUUGUUGAUUUUGAUUUUUCAGAUUUUAAUUUUGCUUCGAAUAAAAGUUUACUUUUAGAUUAGAAAUAUAAAAUGGCAUGUAAUUUCUACAUCACUUGGUGUUGUCCUGACAUCAUUCAAACAAUAAAUAUGGAUCGUUCAGCAUUUUAAAAUCUAAUGGCUCACAAUCUGUGUCAAAAUUUAUGUUAAAAAGAGUGUCACUUGAACCAGACCGGUAAAGAGGGCUACCUAUCAAUUUGUUAUUGCUUGUUGCCAAUUAGACAUUUUGGUCGUGAGUAGACAAGUUAAUGUAAGCGACAUAUUGUUGUGGACAAGUUAAUAAAAUUGUCUAUUUAAAAACAAAAAAACAAAAACAAAAAAAACAAACAAAUAGAGAAAUGCGAGAUACACAAAAUCUAACUAUUAUUGGGUUCGACUUUCCAUGCUCUGAGCUAAAAUAUGAAGCUGGCGAUGGACUUCUACAAACCGACUUGAAGGCGAUCACAAACUGUCUCCAAGCUCGGCAUGGGUUAAACACGUACUAAAUACAGAAUAUGAAAUAACUUGUCCAGAGUCCAGACUAGUCCAACUAGAUAUACUGACUCUAAUGCCCUAAUAUACUAACAAUAACACACAUGAACCUGCUGGUUGCCAUUGCUGAAUGGCCUGCAAAAAAAGACGCAGCCUUUGAGCAGUAUCCGGCUUCUUCUACUCUAUUAAGGGAAGAAUGGUGUCCAUGCAGGAGGAAACUGAAAAGUCAGAACAUCCCUUGUAACUUGUACGAAAAAAUGACAGAGUUGCAAAGGGAAGGAUCAUGUAUAGGUGGUAUAUGAUCAUUUUGAAAUUGAAAGAGCUCGAUCCAAUAGGAGGAGAAAUAAGAGGUGGGCUAAUAGUGAUUAGAAGAUAUGAGAAAGACAUAGGUACGUGUGAAAAGUGAUUAGGGGAGAAAAGUUGGUAGUUUGGUGUUGUCGGUGGCAAAGGCAGAAGAGAAGGGAAUUUUCAAUCUUGAUCUUUCCAAAAGAAAGGCUGCAUAGGAUAAGAAGAUGAAGCAGAACAAGAGUUGUCAUCCUGUUGCGGAAAGUCAUGCCGAUUCGAAUUAUUGGCGGUAAAACCGUUAUGAUCAUGAGAUGGCAGCACAAGAUUGUUGGAAGUCAUGUCCAACUCUAAAUCAUCCCAGACAGGACUACCAGGACCCCAACCUUGUGGAAUUGCAUUCAGCCAAGCCUCUGCCAUUUCUCCCCAAACCAUUUCUUGUGUUGGGGCAUCUGACAUGAUCCCUCCUCUUUCUCCAUGAUUUUCAACCUCAAGUUGAUGGCUAGUGUCAUCGUCUUCCUGGGGCUGUGCAUAUGGCGCUGGUGGAGGUGCAACUGUUUCGUUAUCUGAAAUUGGAACCUGUAACUGUAAAUCAAGGUUUUUCAGCUGCUGCAUACCUUGGGACCUCAAUGGCUUUGAAACUUGUUGAAUCGGCGCAGCUGCUGAAACAGCUGCAGCAUUAUCAUUAUGUUUCUCUUUGUUGAGGAAAAGCUCAGGGAAAUUAAGCCUAGCAUUCUCUCCUCUCAACUUGAAGGCCUCGCGGUCAUAAGCCAUGGCAGCAUCUUCAGCUGUGUCGAAGGUGCCGAGCCAGAGGCGAGUUCUGUUUCGAGGAAGACGAAUUUCAGCUACCCAUUUGCCCCAAUGCCUUUGCCUUACUCCCCUGUAAAGCUUACUGGUACUUAUAGGCAUUGCUGGUGGCCUAAUACCACCACUACUAUUAGCACCUCCAAACCUGUUCAUCAUCAUCAUCAUCCUUCCUCUUGGACUCAAAUUCAAAGCAUCACUCCAAUACUGAAGCAUUUGCUGUUGCUGGUGUUGCUGCCAAGAUAUCAUGUGUUGCUGCUGCGAAGCAAAUGAUAUCAUUUGCUGCUGAUUUUGUUGUUGCUGCUGCUCCACAACGUGUGUAUUUGGCGGGAACUGAUUAGGCUGCAGACCUGUGCUAUGAAAUUGGCGGGGAAAUUGGAUAGGUUGCUGCUGCUGCUGCUGAGGCAGAGACCCAUCAAAAGCAAAAGGAAAGACUAUUCUUGAAGAAAGAGGACAACAAGAAGUGAUUGUUGAUGUGUCUGAUGAACUACGAGGAGGAGGAGGAGGAGAUGGGAUUUGAAAUUCAGGGGAAAAAGCAGAGGAUCGGUGCUGAUGGCUACGUUCAGGGCUCUUGAUCUUCUUAAGAGGUCUAUUUGAUACUGGAGCUUCAUCAAAAACCGGCUUCCAUUGAUGCCCCUCCAACAGAAAAUCAUGUUCCUUGCCUUUGUCAAGGUCACAAUCUUUGCUUGUUUCCAUCUGAGUUUCAAAGUUUGAUUCACCACUCCUUUUUGCUGCGGCCAUGCUUUAUGUUCGUUUUCUCACUUUCUCCAAAGCCAAAGAAGAUUCAAUCGAAUUUGAGGUAUUGAACAAAACAAAGGAAACUCGAAAAAGAGACCAAAAUUCUAUACUCUACCCAGAUACAAGAGUUGGUUAACCAAUAGAAAAAAGAAUCUGGGUUUCACUUUGAAUAUCUAAUCCCGUCGAAUCCAAAACAGCAUCGUGUUCCAAAACAUAAAAUGCAUCUGAAAUAUUUUGACGAACACAAGGAGAGAAUGCAAGAGUUCGGGUUUGAAUUUGAAGUCUUUAGGUGGCAGAGCAGCAGAGAUGUUUCUGGAAGAAAAAGAAAAAAAAGUUGAGAGCGGAGGGGUUGAUCGAGAAACAGAGGUGAGGAGACGUGGGGUUUAUAAGAAUGCAUAUAAAGAGAGGAGAGAAUAUGUUGGGAUUGGUCGGCUUUCUUCGGGCCCUACACGGUUCAUUGUAGCUUUCCAUUUGCAACUUCCACCACCCAUUUUGUUUCUUUCUCGCAACCCAAGUCUGCAUGACACAAAAAACAUGAUUUUGUAUGAUUACGUGGAUUACUUGCAUAACAUUUUUAAAGAGUUAAAAAAGAAAAAGAAAACGUAUUUAAAAUUGGCCUCUCACCGUCCAAGUUUCCUAAAGACAAAACUAUAUGAUUAGUGGUAGGUGAUUACGAUUGAAAUGGUAUACGAAAAAACAAAAAGAUGCAGAGGUUAUAUAUUGGAAAGAAACAAGUCAACAACGGUUUAUGCUAUGCAAGUAAUCCACGUAAUAAUGGUCAGUCACACCCCCGGCCCUUUCGGUGGAAGCAAUAGAAAAUAGGUCUUGUUCCACAAGUCAACAAACCAUACAAACAUAAAUCCCUAAAACAAUUAGACGACUUCAAUUUUGGUCGGUCAGAAUCGGCACGUGUCGGUGGUCCACUCCUCACCUAUUCAUUUUCUUUUCUCAUUCUUGUUUAUCAACAACAUUAACAUUAUGUUCAAAUCCACCACGGAACAACAAAGAGGUUCUGAAAUAUCUUAAAUCUCAUCGUCAUCUUAAAAACAAAGAUAUUUUGGAAGCAAAGAAACAGGAGAUGAAGUAAUGACGAUAGAAGCAUUACCAAUAAAUGCGGAGGGCGGUAGUACUACAAAGCCUUCAUUUAGAGAUUUUAGAACAUGUUUACUAACCUGAAAUAGAAUUAAGAGUGGUAUAAUUGAUUUCAGAAUGGGUGAAUUCCGGCCUUUACUAACAUGUCAAGGUAUUUGAAUAGAUGUGGGUCCCACUUACUUAUCAUAAAUUGAUUUUUUAAUGAAACCCCUUAUUUGAUACCCAAGGGGGAAGAUAGGUAUCAAAAUCAAGGUAAUAAAAUCAACUUUUUCUCUCCAAAAUAUCCUCAUAUAAUUAUAAUAUUUCUAAAUUACCCAACCCUAAAAAUAUAUAUUAUAUUUAUGGUUACAUCUCAUCUAUAUGAGAGUUUAACGUGUGGAAGAAUCGACCAAACUAGGUCACGAAGAGGUAGGUAAGAGCGUUUUCGUGUGAUAAGUGACGAUAGAUUAGGGUUGACCGCAUCGAUCAAGUUCCAAACGUUGCCGAAUUGAGUUGAAUUUUAUACCAUAGCCAUGUUUUACUAUAAUGAUCAUAUCAGACGGUGGAAUUUUCAUUUUAUGAAUUUUAGUCAUCGGAAUCACAACGUGCCUACUAAUAGGCUAUAACUUGUUUAAUAUGUUAUAUGCAAGUGUACAACUUUGUAAACCAAAUAUAGAGAGGAAACAAAAUUUACAAAAAUCUCGUAAAAUAAGAUGUAAGCGGAAUGGUGAAAUACGGCUAUGGUUGAAAAAUUCUAUAUUUCAGGUAAUGUUUAGGUCUCGAUAAAAGCGGUCAACCCUUUUUACGCUUAAUCUUCCCUAGGGGAGCCCUAUCAACGAGAGGUAAACAUUUCCAAAUUUUUACAUGUGUGGUUACAUCUCAUCUAUAUGAGAGUUUAACGUGUGGAAGAAUCGACUAAAUUAGGUCACAAAGAGGUAGGUAAGACCGUUUACGUGUGAUAAGUGACGAUAGAUUAGGGUUGACCGCUUCGAUCGAGCCCCGAACGUUGCUGAAUCGAAUUGAAUUUUAUACCAUAGCCCUGUUUAUUAUAAUGAUCAUAUCAGACGGUGAAAUUUUCAUUUUGUGAAUUUUAGUCAUCGGAAUCACAACGUGCCUACUAAUGGGUUAUAACUUGUUUAGUAGGUUAUAUGUAGAUAUACAACUUUAUAGACCAACUAUAUAGAGAAAGCAAAAUUUUUAAAAAUCUCGUGAAAUAAGAUGUGAUCGAAAUAGUGAAAUACAACUAUGGUUGAAAAAUCACGUAUUUCGAGUAACGUCUGGAUCCCGAUAAAAACGGUCAACUUUUUUUUUACAGUUAAUCUUUUCUAUCGGGAGCCCUAUCUUCGAGAAGUAAAUCCAUAAAUUAACGUCACUUAUCACACGAAUACUGUAACGCCCCGUAUAUAACCUUACCUAUUUACCGGGUGUUUCUUCAAGUUACUGAGAAAUUUAACCGUACUCGGUAACUUAGUAGUUAACACUUGAGUUUAUUUUUAAGUUUUUCUCGAAAUGUAAAAUUCUUAUUAUAAGGCCCCGAUAUCGUUGUGCGCGUCAACACGAGUUCACCGAUGUCUUCUACGAAUUUUUGAAAUUUCGGAUAAUUUUAGAUUAUCAUUCAUGAUUUUUAGUUUUACCAUUUAAUCUGUCAAAUCUGGGCCGUUAAUUUUUUAGGUAAAAGGGUUGAAACCCUAAUCCCUUCCCAUUCGGAAUAGAGAGAGGGAGAGAGACUGAGGAGGAGAGCGACGGCGCCCCGGUCCCCGUCCAGGCGCGCCUCCGCCGCCGUGAGGCCGUCGCUGGACGAUUGGCGACCACCGUUCAGCUCGUCUCUCUCUCCUCUACCUCCUCCUAACUGUCGAUUGACAUGCAUCCACCACCUUCUUAAGAUCGAAAAUCCAAACCCUAACCUCCAAAUUCAAAUUCCGGCCAAAUCCCUUCUCCCCCGGCUAGUUCAAGCUUCUAGAAGGUAAUUUCACUUUUCCCUCUUCGUUUUCCAUCCCCGUUGAGCUUCGAUUUUCAGAAAUAGAGCCCUAAUCCGAAUUUCCUUUUUGGGUUCGAGGUUUGGUUUCCGGCAAGGGGUUGCGUUCUUGGGGUUUCGGUGAAUCUAUCGAACUCAGGCGAGCCUAGCAACGUUUGAUGGGUGCCCACUAUGCGCCUUGAAGGAGGCUUGGAGGCAGCUGUUACUGUUUCGGAGGGAGGCAGUGGCUUUGGGUGAUUGGCCGAGUGUCUUUAAUCUUGACUUUGUUCUCAGCGACUCUCCGAUUUGGUUUUAGCUCUACAUUCACGUUUUGAAUAGAUUGGAGGUAAGGGUUAUGAAUUGAACUGCACCUUUUGUUAGGUUGAUCCCCUCUUUUUUUGCUGCAUUUUUUUCCUGAGUAGCCAUACAGAGUUUUUCCUCUUCUCUUAUGUUGUUCUUUGUUUUUUUUAAUUGUCUGGAUGUGAUUACAAUUUUGGCGUUAUAGCGUGAGAAUCUUAAUUGAUGAUGUAUGUGAAAUUUGAUCUUAUUGUGGAAUAAAUUUAAUAGCAGACAAUUUUCUGGGACAUAAUUAAGGAGAAUAUCUCAAUUUGGAAAACCAAUAUUGUUGCAGACAAAUUAUGGUGUACACUUAUCCCAUAUAUAUAUGUUGUAAGAAUUGGUAUAUAUGUUCCUGAUAUCAUAUCCAUAUAAAAUCACAGAUUCUAUAUUGAAUUUCAAUUUCCUCAUUCCUUUCCAAUCAUAAAAAUUCUUAUGCUCUCUUUACUUUUUCUCAUAUUGAUUUGAUUUUUUGUGGUGAUUUCAGGUCGCAAUAGACCUUUUAGAGCAAAUUGAAGUUGUAGAAUAAUUGCACAGGUUCAUUUCGUUUUACAUUUUAAUCACUCUUUGGGAUGGACUAUGUACAAGAUAUUCAUUAAGUUUAAUUUUUUGUCCAGAAAAUGCUAUUAGUCGGUAAUCUUUUAAUAAGACACAUAUAUGGGUGAAUUAAUUUGCUUUGUGAAAAUCUCAGAAAAUAUGUCGAUGUUGUGAUUGGUAAAUUCAUCUUUAUGUCAACAGUUAAUAUGUGAUAUUAUGUGUGUCGCAGGCCACUUUUGCUAGCAAUAGGCUGCCUUGCAUUGCAUAUAAGGGCAGGUAUGCUCAUUGUUCCUUUCACUUUUACUGUUGUUCAUGUCCGGUGAUUAACACAGCAGUCUGGGCAAUUCUUUGUUUCAAUUUUCAAUUAUGGUUACGGCCUUAUGGGUUAUCAUUUGGUUUUUUUCUUUCAUGGUGAAUCUGAAGUUUGGUUGUGGGUUUCCGAAUUUUGGCAUUUUGAGAUAUGGGUAUCGAAUUUUGGAGUGAGACUGAGAAAGUGGAUUUGGUAGCUGUGAUUGUUGGCUUCUGAUUUUGCAGCCAGAUUUCUAAAGUUUAAAUUUAGUCUGAGUAAUUGGCUUCAACCCACAUUUAUUUACAUAUAUAUAUAUAUAUUUUUUUCUGAUCGGUUAAAGUUUUAGAAGAUUGGUUUUGUGCUUGAGAUAUAUGUAUGAUUUUUUAAGAUCAACUUAUUAUCAGUAUGUUCACUGUUUCAUGGAACAUAAGUAUGGAGCAUUAUUUUCAGCUUUAUUUGUUGCAGCCUUCUCACUAAUAUUAUGAGAGCAAGAUGCAAUUAUGUUUCUACGAAGCUUGCUGAAAAACAGUCCAGAACCGAUGGCUAUAUUCAAGAUCAACUUUGAGGAGAAAAAGGCUAAUGAUGAAGAAAGAGUUGGCUGCAAGAAUCGGUUAGGUGCAUGUAUUGUGUCACUAUUGUACCUCUAGAGAAAGAUAAAACAGAUUCAGACAUCUUCCACCAAUGGCAUUUGUGAAGGAACCCGUUUCAGAACUUAAAUUUUUUAUCUAUUGUAGUAUGGGUUUGCGAGUGUUAUUUAAUUUUUUUAUCUAUUGUAGCAUGGAUUUGCGAGUGUUAUGAUUUAUCAGACCAUAAGAUUCUCUAUGUUGCAUCAAGAACAAUAGUUAACCUCACACACAUACAACACACUUCCGCCACGUGCUGGAAGGCUAGUAGUUUAUUAAACAAGUCGUUAUACCACAUUAGAAGCGGAAGACUAUUGUGGUGGAUGUCGGUUGACAAUCACUUGGAUUUUUCGUUUUUCAAUUUGAUUUCAAUUUGAAUCACUUGGGUUUUUUUCUCCUCUUCUAGUACUUGGCUGACAAAGAAAUGGAGCCGUAAUGAAGAGAAGUAAACAACAAAAUUACACUGCAGCAAUACUACUCGUCAAGUGGCUCUGUUAAACUAAGUUGAGCAGCUAGAACUAAGAUAAAAAAACUCCUAUACUUCUUAGUUUAACGUUCAUGCACAACUAAGCAGUACCCUUGUUUUGUUCAGUACCUGAAAUUACACAAAACAAACUAAUCAUGAUAAGGCAAGGAAACAAAAUAAUUGACAAAUUCAGUAAGCAAUUUUAUACACAGUUUUUCAGCACAAACAUAGAUGGUUCAACAACACAGAACAUAUGACAAAACGCCGAAAAAGAGGCUAAUCAUACAUAGGCUGGACUCUAAAACAAAUAGCAUUCAAUCUUAUUCACAACACAAGAUCACAAGUCCACACAUCAUACGUCAUAUGACAAAGUUUUCCACAAGUCGUGCUUUAUUCACAAUCUGAGCACAUUUACAUAUCCCUUUUCACAACUAAAAAGGGAAGAAUCAUACUUUUCGAAACAAACAGAUGAACAUCCCUAUUCACAACUGAAUAAGGGAGUGUUAUCUCACAUAGUAUUUAUCAGAACAAACGAAUACACAUCCCACUUUUCACAACUGAAAUGGGAGAGCCAUUUCACAAACACUUAUCGGAACAAACGCAUAUCCCCCUUCACAACUGAAAAGGGAAAACCACGUUGUUCACCCGUGUGGCCGAGGUGUACAUUCCAGAACUCAACCUAAUAUAGAGAAGGUACUGAAUGUAACAGUAUUUGAAAUUACAUUUGAAAUUUUUAUAAGUCUUCCAAGUUUCUUAUCAUCAACUUUGGAAAUGGCCAUCACAGUAAACAAAUAUGGCAUCUAAAAAGGUAACAGAACUAUAAAUGAUAGAUCUAAAAUCAGGCAGCAUGAGCAAAGUGGAACUACAGAAUUUAUAAUAUUUAUUACCUCUUUAGUCUCUUUGCACAGGCUUCUUUGUAAAGCUCCUUCAAGGUACUCUCUUUAGGUUGCUGCAAACUUCACUUUGGUGGAGCUUGGUGAUAUGGUGUCUUGCUCUGCAGCUGUUGCAGCUCAGUUGGUUCACAAUCUGCAUACCAAUACAAUUAAUUGAAGCAAAAUUCACUAUUCAGUAUUUGUUCAAUCAGAAAACACAGAAUACAUAAUCAAUCGAACAAAUACUGAAUAUCAAAAACAAAACAGCAUAAAAACAAAUAAGACAGUUCCUGGAAAAUGCAAAGUAACUGCAUCUAUUGAUUCACUACCAAACGGAAAUUUACAGACAAGAAAAUGCAAAGUAACUGCAUCUAUUGAUUCACUAUGAGAGGGUAUUAUUUACAUAAUUGAGUGAUGCACAUAAAGCAUAAGAAAAGAUUAAUCAUCAACAAACAAGACCACAAGUUUCCAGCCGCCUGGAGUGAAUAAGAGCAACUGCUUAUACCAAAUUGGUACUAAGAUUUUCCACUAGAAUUUCAGUACCAAACAGAAAACAUUAAACAUCAGACUCAAUGAUCAUCAUCAAACUGUUUACUAAUUCAGUCAUGCACAUCAAGAAUCACAAACGAUGAAUCAUCAACAAAAAACAAAAACCAUAAGUUUCCAGCUGCCUGGAGAAAAUAAGACCGAUCUACGUUCGCAACUUCUUAAACCAUUUUGGUACUAAGAUUUUCCACUAGAAUUAAACAUCAGACUCAAUGAUCAUCAUCAAACACGCUCCCAAUCAGUGACCGCAAUUAUAUUUAUCACAUCACAAUCGUGCAAAUCAAAUCACAGUUUCUAUACACAAUUUCAAUUAUAGUUUCACACUAAUAACAAACUAACCUUGUACGAAUCAGGUAUGCCGAUGGUAAAUGAGGGCAGAUGCUUCACCAAAUGCUUCAGAAUAACUAAGGUACCUAACAUUAGAUAAAUGAAAACAGAACCGGGCAGGAAAGUUUUAAGUCUCUUAUGUUGAUCACAGGACACAAAUUGCUACACAAUUAUAAUUCUUUUUUGGUGCAGCUGUGGAACAGAUAUCAUGAUGCAGCAGCCAUAUCAGUUGCAUCUAACUAUCAUAUACAACUCAGAAAGAUGUUUGAAAGAUUUAUGGUGAAAUUUCCAUUUUGUUCAAAGGACUUCAUGUUAGUAGAUAUUAGCUUUAUUUCAAUGCAAACAUGUUUGCAACAUGACCUUGCAACAUAUCCUGAACAAGAUCAAAAUUUUCCUCUAACCCUAAUCAAACUUAGUUUCAAGAUUAACAGACAGUUUAAGGAUGCAUAACAACUUCUAUAUUCAACUUCUUUGAAAAGAGUGGCAGAAUUGCUUGGGGAAGAUUAAUUCUUAGUGCCUCUCAAGUAAAACUGUAAUGUAACCAACUGAUGGAACCAGCUACUCUAGAAACAUGUAAAGAUGACAUUUCUACAUGCAAUUGAUGCAAAGAUAUGUAUCUGGUGGAUAUGAAAUCAUAUACUCAAAUGAUAUGCAGAAAAUUGAUUUUGCAUACAGAAGUGGCUAACAUUUAAAAACCCAGUAUGAGUAUUAACUGAAAUUUCUAAAGCUUAUUCAUGCUUGUUCAUGCUUAGUUGUUUAUUAGUUCAAAUAUGUAAUUGAACUGGUAAUCAUGUAUUCCUUAAUCCAACAAUGCGAAUUUAUCUAAACUAGCCUAGGGAUUACUCUCUCAUGUUUGAUAGGGUAUUUCCAAAACUUGAGAUGCCAACUGAAAAAGACACAAUGCUGAAAAAAGGUGCAGGCUUUAAAUAAUAAUAUCGGAUCACUUUGCCUGAUAUGUUUAUUAAUCCUGGAGAACAAAUAAAGCAUCCAUCUUCGACAGUAGGUGAAGAUAGUCUACCAGUACUAUUCUUGUCAAAUCAAAGAAUUCAAAAUAAACCGAACCUAACAAUUCAUUAUUCUGUGGGGAUAUUCUACUGUGGGAUGCCAAAUGCUGAAGAUGCUAUUACUUGAGACCAGUCACAAGACAGAGACACGCUUUGAAUCCCACAAGGAGUACUUUUAAAACUAGGAACUUAGACAAAGAUGACAGCUAUCCUUUUGUAAUCAUUCUGAUUAUCCAUAGACGAAAAUGAUCAUAUAUGUACAUUGAUAGUAGCUCAGAAAAAUGUAAAUGUAAUUAUGUACCAUAUGUAUAAAGAGACGGGGUUUCAGUAGAACAUGAGAAAAAGGUUAAAAAUUGAUGAUCUCCAACUAUUUAUUUCCAAAAGUUCAUACACAAAGUAUUAUGUUGAUUGCCUAAGAUAGUACCCAAAUCACAUAAUCAAGACAUAUCCUACUACAGCUCUUAACCAUUUUAUCUUGCAGAAAAUCCCAUAAUCUUCAGAAAGCUUGCUGCAACCAGCAAUCUAUGAGAUCCACAUUUCUUUUUGUUACUUCAAAGCAUGUAAGCCAACAAUGCAACAGCAUGGCGAAUCAUGCAAGGACAAAUACUAGAAAAAAAAAAAAAUAAAAAAGUUUUAGGAAGAAAUCUCAGGAACUCCUAACUAACCAAAAUUAUCUCAACUGAUAUGUCAUUAGUUGUUCUGAAAGUGAGACAGUUCAGAAAAAGCAUGAAAUUGCAGAUGGCUAAUCCAAUACCAGUAUGAACAACCCCAGUUCAGAGCUACCUCAAGUAAACCCAAAAAACACAACAAACUCUAUUCUACAAAAUGGGAUAACUUUCCUCAUGAGGAAUCUACGUUGGAGCAGCAAAACAGCAAUCAUUAUAAGUCCAAGACAUAAAUAUAUGAGGUUCUUAACAAACAGCAAUCAUUAUAAUCCAAAACAUGAUACAGAGAGAUGCUACGCAUAACUUAGAGACAAUGACUAAUUUAAGGAACUAUCGAUUUCAUGCACGUUAAGAGUUUCACAGGAGCAAAUUAUAUCAAAAGUACAAAGCAUGUUAUCAAAUUAUAACAAAACAAAUUAUAACAAAAGUACAAAGCAUAUAGCACUUGGGUCAGUCAUUGUCUAAUAUAUGGAAUGGUACAUAGCGUGUUCCUCAGUCAUUGUCUAACUAAAGGAGGGUUAUCAAUGAAUCAAAAGGGAUGACUGAGAAAGAGAGAGAAUUUAACCCAGACCAGAUUGUAAAAGCAUAAUCUCAUAAUAAAGCUUUAAACCUUUAACACAAUCCUUAACAAGCAAAUCAGACACUAAAAACUCCAUGUUACCUGAGAUCUUCAAUUCAGUAGAUGAUGGUGUGUUCCUCAGUCGCAUUCCCAGGCCUCGACACCAAAACACAGGCCACUAGUCCUGCAUUUUCAAAAACACAGGCAGACGUAGUGUUAUAUAAAUAUCUUGUAGGCUAUAAGUAUUGACCUGAUAGGACUUAAAUCAUGACUCUUGCUGAAAUUGAACUAAAUCUAUAAGAUGCUGUCACUGCAUCUGGUAAAGUAAUAGGUAAAAAAACAGUUAGAAACUCAUAAUGCAACUGCAACAAUAGGCCAGGCCAACGUAGGGGAAUUUAAGAAACCAACUACCCAUGUACAUGUGAGCAUAAUUCACAAUGGCAUUACAAUAACUAAUUAAACAAAGAAGAAUACUGCAUCCAAGCACAUACCCGGGAUCCAGACAAGCCAAAGCUAUUAGCUUGUGUAAUUGAUGUGUGUUGUGCAAAUCAACUGGAAGUAGCUUAUAGCGGUCACUGAGCCCUUAUCCUCUCUACAAAAGUAAGAAAAAUUGCUAAAAUGAUGUUCUCAGAGGAGUUCAAAUAGUUAAAUGUGUACAACUACUGAGAUAAAUAUCCCUUUAGUCCUUCAUAGUUCAUACAGAGUUGGCAACAACAUUAGAUCAACCCAGCAUUCUCACCCAUUACUUGAAUAUACCGAAUUCACCACACUAGUUAAAAACUCACACUCUACUUAUUGCAAAAUUGUACGAAAACCACAAACAAGAUGAGCAUUAGUAAAGUUUGAAGUAUUUUGUGUGUUUUAAUCAGUAACAGUACAACCCCUAAGCAUCUAGUGUGCUCGAAGAAGCCGAUUCAACCCUGUCAAACUGAUCCAAUUACCCACCAGAAACAAACCCAAUAAAAGGAUUCAGCUUGUUGAAGAAGAGAGAUGAAAGUAGACCCAAACAGAGAGAAGAGAUGAAAUUGUACCUGAGAUCUUCAAUUCAGCAUAUGAUGGUGUGUUCCUCAGUCGCAUUCCCAGGCCUCAACACCAAAACGACGGCGACUGAACACCACCGAGUCAACUCGGCCUUUGAAGUCGGUGGCCCGUCAACCCGAUCAGGCAAAUUGAACUCGAUCACCAAACUUCAAGAAACGAAAAUCAAUUCCUAACUCAAGAAACGAAAAUGGAUCACCACCCACCUCUCUCUCCUAACUUCAGAUCUUUUUUGACAAAUCCUACCAAACUGAAGCUUCUUCAACACACCAAACCACUAUUCCCCAAUUAAAUCGAGCUACCCACCUCCAUAUCGUCGUCGCGGAGGGAGAAUUACCGAGAGUUAUGCACAACACGCGCUAAAAGCUUCUCCACCCGCUGCUUGACACGUGCUCCAGACAGCCGCAGUACUCAAGGUACUGCGUACAUUCCAGAACACACCAUACAAUGCAUACCAUUCAUUAAUCAUCUGUGCAAUGUAUCCAACUAAGAACAGCAGUAUGAUGAAAAUACCAAGCUUAGUCCUGUCACUGGCUGAAAAUUCCUUCUCCAAGAGAACCAAACAAGUUGCAAAUAAACCUACUUCACUGGAAACCGAGAUGAUCUCAACCAACUGAACCUUUUUCUUGAUAAACAUGCGGCUUCUUAAGAACGAGGAAGAAAAGUUGAAAAGAGGUUAUGCACAGUAAGGUAAUUGAAGGAGUUCUUGAAUUCCAUCUUUCCAUGUAGAGACCAGCCAUGAUCCCAACAGAAACCCUUUUCAAACAUUCUAAUAGUGUGUACGUAGUAUAUUCCGAGUAUACCAAACAGUUUCUGGAUAAAAGGUGCUUCUGCAUCUUCUGUUUCAUCAUCAGAGUCAAUAAUACGCUCACCUUGCUUGCGAGCAUUGCCCUCAGAAAUCUAAGAGAGCAUGUAUUUUGGAGGGCCUCUCAGAUCUUCAAAGAGAGGGCCAAAUAUAAUUAGAUAUACAGAGCUUGGUUUUUCUUUCCAUGUCCACUGACCUCUUUUUCCUGGACCCAGUGUCGCUCGGACAAUCUCUUGAAACCAUAGAAAUUUCUCUCCUUCUUGAUGUACUUCCUUGUAUUGAAGUAACUUCCCAAAUGUAAUGCCGACUGAGAGGAAAAGGAACAAGACAGCAAAAAAGAUGUGAUAGCCAACAACAGACAGCCAACUAUAACUCCAGAUGACGCUCCUCCUAGAACAAUGGAAGUAAGAAUUAUUACUUCCCAAAAGUCAUGAAAAGAAAGCAAGCAAGACAAUAUAGAGUUAUAGACACAAGUUCCCAUAUGCUAGACUAUCUGGACAUUAGUUCCAACAAUGCACGUCUUUACCAAAGCAUGAGAACUAGAAAAGGUUAAAAAUGUUUGGGAAGUACCUUUAACUAGUGCAGAGGAGGCCUCACAAAUACAAGGUAGUGCAAGAAUUACAAGAAAUAUCUCAAAUCUUGGGAAUGCGAGUGCUCCAUAACCACUCUGUCUCUCAGAAUUUUUCUUCCUCAGUUUCAGAAUGAAUAGGAGUAAAAUAUGUACUAGGAGCAAGCUACCACUACAGAAACAUGGUUCUAUCAAAAUUCCUCCACCUACAGAAACACAAUAAUUUUUAUUAGUCAAAAUGAAUAAAAGAUAUGUAUGUAGUUGUCAUUUGGAUGAUUAUUAGGCCAUUUUGCAAUGCCUAUAUAUAGAUAUGUAUGUAUAAGUGAUGCAUCCAGUUAACUUACCUGUUAGAGUUAUAAGAACCGGAGAGAUACUCGGCUUCAGGUUUAAAAUUUUCACCCUCCAACUGCAGAAUGCAACCACCAUAAGUAUAUACAAUUAUUUUAUACUAAUAUGAAGCAACUAAUUACAACUUUAAAAAGAAAAAAAAACACAUUUAUCACCUCAAAGAACGGUCUGUAUGCUAUUGGAGUAACUGGAAACCCAUAUACUGAAGUAACCUUAUCAGAACUCUCUUCUUCUAGUUGCUUGCUUUUGAAAAUUUCUGAAUCAUAACCUUCAGUAGUGUAGGACUUCGAGCAUACAGACUUGAGGUAUAAGGACUUCAGUGGUAUAAGGACUUGAGGCUUGGAAGCUCUUCCCAGAUUCCCAUGGGAGAUUGAAGUAAGGAAUACUCCAUUGUAAACCCCUUGAAAAUUCAUACAAUCAAUUGGCAAUGUAACUGCCAACCAUCUAGAGAGUGCAAAGAUUUGUAUAUGACAAGCAAUUCUCUGGAAAAGGGCAAACAGAGGACAGUUAAUUUUACAGUUGUUUAAAUUUGUCCAGAAAAGUUAGUGCUCAAAUGAUGCCACAGACCGGUCACUGUAUACAAGGUCUUCAAAUGUUUCAAAACGAAAAAUAUGUUUUCUAGAUACCUAAUCUACACUGUCUUAGGUCCUCCAAUCAUUAAUUUGACUAAGCAUGAAACCAAAAAGCUUUGGUGCCUUACAAAAAGAUUUCUUGCUGGAUGAGAUGCCAAAGAAGAUGCUCUCCUAAAUGUCCAUAGGGAUUUGGAGGCUUGCAGUUGAAAAGAGCAGUCACAAAUGUAGAUUGCAGAGAAGAUAUCAUGGGCACUGUAUCUGUAAAUUAGCCAUAUUUUACAUCAUUAAAUAACUGGGAAAAGAAACAGACAAACAUCCACACCUUUAGAUGAAAAUCCUUCAAAUUCACAAACUAUACACUUGCCAAUGCUGAUUAAAACUAAGUAGAAAAGGAAAUCCUUACAGUGUGAUACUUGAAGAACAUUUGAUGCUAGGUUUUUGUUUCCAGCAACAUCCCCAGAUAAGUUUUCAGGAACAUUAACCGAAACAAUAUCAUUAAUUGCUUCUAUAUUGACAGUGUUACAUACUCCUACUUAUUUCAUGAAAGCUGUAGAAUAGUAAAGAUUCUCUUAGGAUGUACAUUAAUAAAGGUAUAUAUUCUUCGGUGCCUCUGUAAAUGUCCUCCUGAGAGGACUAAAGAGGAGUUGAAACCAAAUACUGGCUUCAUGAACUUUAUUAAUAUGGGCAACCUAGGUUUAAAUAUCUGAGAAGUGUGUACGAGAAGCGGAUAAUGUACCUAGGUUAAUCCUUAGGAAAAAUGAAGGAAAAAGUUAUAGAUUGUUAAGGUGGGUUGAGGUAAUGGCACUUAUGUUUGGAGUACAAGAUCAAGGACCACAUAACUUUGGUAUAAAAAGUUAGUGGGCUCGGAAUACUUUUAUUAGUAGGGAGCCCUUCUAGUGAGGUUAACACUACUUAAAAAGCCCUUCUAGUAUUCAAAACACUACUUAAAAAGUUAGUGAUGUUUAUCAGUGGGCUGUCACUUUGGUAUUUAUAGUAUUGAUUUGUAUCGCAGGGCCGAAAUAGGUUAACCAUACGCUCAGAUUUUUGUAGAAGAGGUAAUGGAAAUUAUGGAAUUGGUUGAGUUAGACAGUCUCAAGGAUGCUCUAGUCGGACUACCUGGAAUUAUAGGGUUGUCAAGGAUGCUCUGUCUUUUAAUAAACACAGUAUAAACCCAAAGCAUCAAAAUCCUUCACUCUCCUCCUCGGCGUUCUAGCUGCUCAAGUUCCAUGUCCAACUAAUGACGUAAACUAGCUACUUAUGAUACUUCACACCUUCAUAAUUCUUCCCCAUUAAAAAUUCCCAAAACCUAGAAAAAUCAAAAACUUUCCUCAAACAUAUAUAAAACUCCAAAAACAGAAACCCCCACCGACCAGAAUCCUUUUUCUCUAUGUUUAAUUCAACUUUUCUCAAAAUCUUAUUUCUCUCUGCUUCACCUCUUCUUCUUCUCCGGUCCUCGCUCCCACUAAUACAUACAUUUAUCAAUGGCCAAAGAGAAGCAACAUAAAAGAGAAAAGAAGCUAAAUUUAUUUUUAAGGUUGCUAUAGUUUAGGUUUUGGGUUUUAUUUUUAUUUAUUAUUAUUUUUUAAAUUAACAAUUAAUGACUUGGCGUGUCGGAAAAGUCAACAUUUUCUGACACGCCGAUACGUGUCAGAGGCGAGUCGGCGUGUCGGACACUUUGACACUCCACUGGUAUGAAGUGUCAGUGCAACAUAGAUCCUCACUAAUUCUAGGACUUGGUCUCGAAUACUGAUUGUGAACUAUCCAAGAAGGGUACACUUCUCUUCGGGAUAGUAAAUAAAGCAAAAUCUCCUUUAUUACAUUUUCCCUUAUUACUAACCCCUUGAACAGGAGAACUUGAAAACCUAGGUAUGAUCUGCUUCUACAAAUAACAUGAUGCCUGAUUGACUGCUGUAUGAGGAGGUAAGCCGCUAGCCAGGACGACAUACCAGUCAUUGAUAGUGUAAAGAACUUGAACAUUUAGAUGCUCUGUGCACACUUUAAUCAGUCCAUCCCUCAAAACUUUUCAACUAACAACAGAACUUUGGAUCCCAGAACUUUCAACCAUAGAUCCAAACUUUGUAUAUUUUAAAAUAGACGGAAAAGCCACAUAACUGAAUAUAUAAACCAACUUUCUCUAAAUUCAGGGAUCAUAUCUUAUCAGCUAGAAUAACCUUUAGAACUAACCUUGUAUAAUUGAGUAACACGAAACCAGAACCCAGCAGAGCAACAUAUAAAGUAGCAGGAAAUCAGAAUGCAGCUGCUGAAAGUAAAAAUCAGAAUCCUAGUGUUCCUUACUUUUGCUAACCAUACUAUUAAUACCAGAAUCUAAAUGCUUCAACAUAGAACCUGAAUCUUUCUAGAAUUCAAAUUUGGCAUUUUUUCAGAUUCUAGCUUUCAUCAAACUGAAUGUCCGAAUUGUGGACUAAAUUCACUACUGCAGUGCACAGUAUACAACAAAACAAAAGGGCCGGAUGCUCACAUUAGCAAAAACUAUAUGGGACGGUCGAUAAGACAUGUCUUACUUAGACGCUAUUCAACAAGUAAUCCAACAAAUAAAGGAAUAGAAGGGCAUAAAUAUAGGCAAAUGUUUUCAUGCACAGCUAGUUAGGAGUUCUGAAUACAAACGGGUGAAAUCCAAUCCAUAGCAUAAUGAACUACAAUGUUGUGUGCAUAAACAUUUAAAGAUCAUUGUUAGUAAGGUAAUAUAAAGUGACAAAAAGGUCUAUGGUAAUGCCAAAGCUGAGAAAAAAUUGACUAUUUGUGACAGCAAAACUCAGAUUUGUGAAAAAUUGGUUCUUAUGAUCGUUGUAUGAAGACAAACAGGAAUAACAAGUUUUUCCUACAUUUGUUUCACUCGAUCUCUUUCCUCAAAUCCUAACCCCAGUUCUGGAAGGCCAAUUUUCCCUUGAAAGAUGCUCAAUAAUUCAGGUACUUGCUCUUUAUACUUGUCCACAAACCUAUGCAAGAAGUGGUCUUUCCUUCCCAUUAAUGCGGUGCCAACUAAAGAAAAUUGUCCCUCCCUUAUUAAGCCCUUCAACAGCAGAACUCUAAUAACUGACCACCUAGGUAUGAUCCACUUCUCCAAACUAUAAAUUAGAAUACUGGGAUAUUUAGCCACAUCAGCCGGCUGCAAACCAAUUUCGUUCACAAGAAAAUCCAUUUUACUUGAAACGUUCUUCUCAGAGACGGUUAUAAAGAUGGGAUUCUUACUAAAUGCCAACAAUAUAUCAUCUUCAGUCCAUCCACACUUUCUAUAAAACUCCUUCUUCUGUGCCAACUUUUCAUCCAUCACAGAAAUUACAUACAGUGCUUUCAAAAACCCAAAGCUUGAAGGUGAAAAUCCCAUGCUGAUGACCUUGUUGACAUUUCCAUUAAACUCAUCGGCAUCGGUUGACGUUGUAACCAGAGUCUCAGGCCUACACAGAUUGAGUGUGGAUUCCGGCACUUUUAGUGACCUCAGAAAUGAAACAUUGUGGGAAACAUUGCUCAGUAUUUUGGCCUUAAACAUCCUAUGGGAUUUCAUAAUGAAACAAGGGACCUUUCCAUCAGGGGUACCUAUAGUCUUGAUGAUAUCAUAACAAGGUCUGAUAUUAUUCUCUAAGCUCAUCUUCAAGACAAUUGGGUUACCGCAAAGGGCCUGAAUGAGAUCAGUGCCUGUAAUUCCAACAGAGCCAAAGAACUCGAGUUUCGGCAAAAGGGUCUUCUCAGCAUUGACUACGAGCAGCUCUGGGAGUUUCUUGACAAUUUCGGAGAUGUGGGUAUCCCCAAAUCCAUGGUCCUUGAAAAGCUUAACAACAGAGUCUGGUUUUUCUGGGGAGUCAAACUGUACCCUCUGCUUCUUGAACAAAGAGAGAGCAAGUUCUGGGGAUAACCCACAUGAGUUUAUAAGGUAUGAAACUGUAAAAGAGCAAUCUUUUUCAUCUUGGGUAUUUCCUAACAAUGAUUUAGAUGUGUAUAAUCUUGUAAAAUGAAGAUAGGUAGUUAAAUUAACAGCAUUCCUACUGGGAAAUAGUAACUGCAAUCAUCUACAGCAAAAACCGAGCAUAGUUGGAGCACACAGUCUAUCAGAGGCAAAGUAUUUGAAAGCAAAGAAGAAGCAACUCACCGAAACACUUGCUGUUGAUCAAUUGAAUUGAUCACUUCCUUCUUCAAAUUCGGAUCCUAGGGUUUUCUGUAUCUUCAUCGAUUUGGGGUUUUAGGGUUUUUGAAGCUCAGCUCAGUAAAGUAGGAAGGCCAGCAGUAGUAAUUAUGUGUGCAAGUGAAAUAUAUGGCUUUAUACUCGAGAGUAAAUUUAACUAAAUAGUAAGAAGUAAAGGAGUGAUACGGGGACAUCAAAACUUUUUAACAAAAACGAAUACCAAAUGAUGUGGCACUACCCACGUCAACACUUUAAUUUUGAUAUAUUGAUAACAUGGAUUUUGUGACCUUAGCUUAUUGAUGACAUGAAUUUUCUAUUAAACAAAUUUAAAAAAUUAAAAUCCUCAAUUUUUCCAUCUCAAACCCUAAUUCAUUAAUCUCACGAACUUUUCAGAUCAUUGUUUUUCACAUAAAAUGUAGAGAAUAAAGAAAUUGAGACUGUCAUACUACCAUGAAAUCAUCUACAAAUAACAUCAACUCAACAAGCUUCAAAAAUCUUUGGAAACAAUAAUUUGAUUUGCAGCUCACUGGGUUUUGGUUCAAUCUGUAUGUAAUCAUCAUAAAAUGGUGUUUCGAUGUUAACAAUUAUCACAUGCCUACGAACAUGCCCUAAAAUGCAUAUAUACACUGAUACACACACACAUUCACAUUUCCCCAUCAUUCAAAUAUGGUAGUUUGGUUUUGCAAUAAUGGUUAGAGAGAUUGAGAUUGUAAUUUUUUUCAUGACACGAGUAUGGUGUAGGCGGAGGCAAGCAUCAGUAAAAUGGUGAAGAGACUGAAUAUCUAAUUUGUAAUUUUCAAUUUACAACAAAUGUGAUACAUAUUUAAAAAUAAAAAUAAUCAAAAUUCACCUCACCAAUAUUAAUUUAAUGUCAAAUGUUGACAUGGCGGUUGCCACAUCAUUUGGGAUCCAAUUUUUGUAUAAACAUUUCGGAUCUCAAGCAUUUUCCUUAAUUUUGUAGGUCUGUUUGACUCUGGAUUUUGAAGUUUGAACUUUGAAGCUUUAUAGACAUUUGAAUCGACAUGAUAUAACCGUAAAAUUGUGUAGUUGGCUUAUAUGAUAAUUAUUCUUUAUAAUCGGUAGACUUUGUGGUUUGUGGUAAAACUUGAAGGCAUGGUUAUCUUUGUUCAUUCUAGGCCAUGGCUGCCGACACAUUUUUAUAAUUCUUGAGACAUGACCCAACCAUGUGAGAUAGACCACCACUGUAUACAUUAUAUAAGGCAUUGCUUUAUUGAUUAUACAAACAUACAUAAUGCUCUAUGCCUCUCCCCCUGAACGUUUGGAGUUGGAACGUUCGAGUCAGAAGACAAACUCAUCAAUGCUCUCGUGUAUCCAUCAUUCAUAUCUUAUCCUUCCUUCUCUACAAAUAAAAUAACAUAGGAUUCCCUUAUCAAAUAAUGCAUAGCGAGUGAUCAAAUAAUGCAUCGCGCGUGCAGGAAGGUUAGUAUAAAAUGAUAUAAAUAUUGUAUCAAUUACACGACGAGGUGAAAAUAGAGGGGAGAAAANNNNNNNNNNNNNNNNNNNNAAUUCUUGACACAUUGCAAUAUUUUGCAUGUGGGUGACCCGACCAUGUGAGAUAGACCACCAUUGUAUACAUUAUAUAGGGCGUUGCUUUAUUGAUCAUACAUACAUACAUAAUGCUUUAUGCCUCUCCCCCUAAACAUUUGGAGUCGGAACGUUCGAGUCAGAAGACAAACUCAUCAAUGCUCUCGUGCAUCCAUCAUUCAUAUCAUAUCCCUCCUUCCCUGCAAAUCAAAUAAUAUAGGAUUUCCUUAUAUACUCUUUCCACCACACAAACACAAACACAAACACAGGAUAUAUUUUUCUGGUUUGCCUUUUGCGAUCAUUGCCUCAUCAAGCCGGAACAAACCUUAUUGUUCUUUAAAAGAACAAUCGUGAUUUUAUCUUUUUUCUAUAUACAUCUUUCCACACACCAAACGAGGGUAUUUUUUUUGGGACAAUUCUUACUAAUCUUGAUUUUAAGAAUUUUAUUUCUACCAACAAAAUCAGAUUGUAAAAUUCUCAAAAUUCAGCUUAAAUAAUAAAAAAACAGUUAUACAUUUAAUAAAUUAAAUAAACUACAAUAUGGUUUAUUAUGAAAUUAAAAAAAUCUAUGACCGGAUUCCCCAGACCCAUGAUGUUGGCCGAACUCCGACGACUUUUGACCAGAUUUCAGUCUACCAUUGACCGGGCUCCAACGACCUUUUACCAGAUUCCGACAAUCAUUGGCCGAACUCCGAUGUACCUUUGACCGUUGACCGGACUUCGGCGAUAAGGGUUCUAUAGGGGGCAAUAGGGGUAUGUCGGGGUAUGUCGGGGGGUCUAUUAGGGCAAUAAAAAGUAAUAGAUCGGACUUCAACGACCUUCAACCGGAUUCCAGCUACCUUUGCCCCCAAUAGAACCCUUAUUGUCGGAGUCUGGUCAACGGUCACCAGGUCUAUUGUGGAGACUAUUGAGGGUAGUAUGGGAUCUAUUGGGUGUAAUAGAGGUCUGUCGAGAGGGUCUAUUAAGGGUAAUAGAUGUCUAUUAGAGGCAAUUGGGGUGUUUAUUGGGAGCAGUAGGCGGUGUGUUAUAGGCUAUUUAUAGGAGUAGGGGGUCUAUAGAGGGUAGUAGGGUUCGUCGAGGGGUCUAUUGAGGGCAAUAUAAAGUUUGUCUGGGAAUCUAUUGGGGCAGUAAGGGGUCUAUUAGGAAUAGUAAGGAUCUAUUAGGGAUAGUAGGGGUCUAUUGGGGGUAAUAGGAGGUCACUGAACUCCAUCUUACUUUAUCGACCACACAUAUCAUUAAUAAAUAAUACUAAUUUAAGUCCAAGGUGAUAGUGGCCUACAAAUAUAAACGCAUGAGGCUUGCCAUGCACCAUCCAUCUUAGUCUAACAAUUAAAUUCUAGAAAACUACUUGAUACAAAUAAUUUGUGUGAGCUUCAUUUGCUAGCUUCAUGAAAUGCCUGAGCAAGUUGAUCCGGCUCUGUUUUGAUACAAGAUAGUGUUCUCCGUUACUUAUUUCUAAUACCACAUACGUCUUCACUACUUAUAAUUGCGUGAAGUGCCAAUGUAGUUAUGCAAAUAACUGGACGUGAGUGCAUUUUUAACCAGUUUGUUGGUUUGUUUUUAUGUGGAGAAUUCUCAUUAAGUUUCAAAUCUCUGCAAUUUUCAUUUGUGGCCGUAUUACAUAUUUACAUUGCAAGCCAUGAUAUCCUAAUAAUCAAAAGAGUUAAAAAAAAAAAAUGGCACCAACUCUCUCAUCCCAAUAUGACUUUGCACAACAAACAUAUGUCUCAGCCCAUUCUCUUCUUGAGUGGUACAAACAGAGCCAAACCCCAUCCCACCGUCAACCCAUCAACACCGGCCUAAUCAAAUCAUGCGCCUAGUCACAGUCACCACACCACCAACCACAUCCAAAUUUGAGUACACUUUCUUAAUGUACUUGAUCAUCUCAAUUUGAUAAAUAGAGUUCCCAUGUGAGCUAUCCAACUCCACCACAUCAAUCCCAGCCUUCGCCAACUCCUUCAACCUCUACUUACUUGACUGUCUCGUCCCAAUCGCCGCCUCGACCAACCAUAACUCUUCGAGCCCAACCGACCCAGCCCCCCGUACUUGCUAAGUGCUUAAGUUGAAUUGCUAUGAGCUUGAAGGUAGAGGUAGCCGGAGUUGGAUUGGGUGUUAGCGGCUGAGAAGAGGGUUGCACAUGAAGUGACGACGGAGGUGGAAUAGAGAGAGAGAGAGAGAGAGAGAGAGAGAGAGAAGAGAGAGAGAGAGAGAGAGAGAGAGAGAGAGAGAGAGAGAGUAG
rnacentral:lncRNA from 1 species